rnacentral:lncRNA from 1 species
UAUCAAUGCAGAAGCUACGAGCCCAUCAGUUAUCUUCAUCCAAUACCUUGAGUUCCUAGCUAGCCCUGUAAUAUAUAAACAUUAUUAUAGGGCAAACUUACAGAAGAAGAAAGAAUGAAAAAUACUAGUGAUACGUACAUUCUGACGUGGUAACAGUAUCCUCUAAUACUUUUAGAUGUAGAACGUAUAAACAAUACAACUUUAUUGCUAAAGCACAAAGUGCUGAACAAAAGUGUUUCCUAACAUGCUCCAAGCAAUAAAAUAGUUUUCAAACUUUCGUAUUUGGCAUAAAAUGCCAGCCGUGAAUAGAGUGAAUGGAGAAAAAUGUCGUCCAACUAUUGCUUUUAUCGCUUUUCAUCACUUAGUUAUUUUUGUCGCUAAAAAUGUCACACAACUUUUUUUGUAGCUAAAAAAUGUCAUUUAACUUUUUUGUUAACUAAAAAUAUCACUCAACUAUUUAAAGAUAACUUGUCAGUAAUUACGUUAAGUUUGUGCAUCAAAGCCAUGGGAAAGUCACACACGUGACUUGCACGAGAGACCAUUGAAGGGUAAAAAUGGGACAAUUUUGAAAAAUGAACAAUAUUCUCAGUGUCAAAAGUAGUUACAUUAAAGGAUCAAGAACUAUAACUAAAAUACAUAGAAGUCCCAAACUUAUACCUUUUUUUUUUUUUUUUUUUUCCAACAAAGGCUCUCACUCCCAAAAUUGGGCCAUUUGCACGAUACCUAAUGAUGCUAAAAUCUUCACCUGAACUGACUAGAAUACAAUUCACCCAACCUGCUCUUGUAUGUUCUCUGUGGACGUCACCCAAGCUACCGGAGAUUAUUUGUGCUUUUAGGAUUUUUAUUGUUCCACAGGGAGAAAGCUAGAAGUUAGGAGAAGCUGAUAUCAUCAUUUCUGUGCUUUUAGGAAUUAUUAUUAUUAUUAUUUUUUUAGACUCUGACUAUUUUGUCCUGGAGCUCUUUGGGCACAUCAUGCAUGCGAUUUUCCAGUAGCAUACAUGGCCUAAAUUUAAUAGGAUGAGCAAGAAGUUGCGUUGUUUUUAAUAGUUGGGUGACACUUUUUACUGAGGAUUAAAAAAAAAGUUAAGUGACAUUUUUUACUAAGAAAAAGGUUGGGUGACAGAGAGAGAUAAAAGGCGAUAAUUUGAUCACAUUUUCCGCCAUUUGGCCUGAAAAUAACAAUCACAAUAAACAAAUCGUACGAAUGUAAGAAUGGACGGAAACAAUUUCUCCCGGCCCUGGCCCUGGCCCACAUAAGAGCCCAUCUCACAAAGAGCCCUGAAAGUACUUUCGCCACAACAAAGGAAAAAAAGCCGAGUGGCGGGGCAUUCCCUUUUCCAAGGAAAUAUUUUAAGACGAAAUUAUGACCUGAUUAAUAAUCAUCAAUUGAAAUUUGUGACAUAUGACAUUAUACAAAAAAUUAAAAUUAAUUUUUGAUACCUUUUAAAUCUUCACCCAAAAAUAUGCAAUUACAAACUCAAAACAAAAAUUUUCGUUGAAAUGUAAUUUCUAUUGGGAAGGAUGAAAGAGAGAAGAAAGAGAAAAAGAAAUAAAAUAAAGGAAAACAAUAUCAUCUUUUGAUAUUUUCUUGAGAAUAAAAUGAGAAACUAGAAAGGAAAGAGGAAAACCCAAAAUUAAAAAAUUGAAAGGUUAAAAAAAAUUGUAUUUUAGGAAAGUGAUUUGAAUAUUUUUUCUAAUCAUUUAAGGAGAAGAUAGAUCUCUCCAAUUCCUCUUUUUUAAUUUCAAUCAUUAAGGUGAAAAUUUUUGUGGAAAAGAGGAAGAAUUAAAUAAAGAAGAAAGAGAAAAAGAAAUAAAAGAAAAGAAAACAAGGUAAAUAAAAAGUCAAAAUAAUGCAAGGGCAAUUUUGUCUUAAAGGGGGUUAAGUGGGCAAAAUUAAAGGUUAGGGGGUAAACUGAUAAAUGAGAUAUUUUUUAAGGGGAUAAAAUAUGAUUAACCCUUGAUUAUAAGAGUGCCAAAGAUUUCAGUCUUAUCAAGUGAUUGACAAAGAUAGCUGUGUUAUCCUAUACCGCAUGCCCGUGACUGCUAUCAAAACUCUCUAUCAAAUAUUAUUGAUCUAUAAACAUUUUUUUUUUUUAUCGAAACGGUAGUUUUCUAUAUCAUCGUAAAAAUUUUACAGUAACUACACAAGGGUCCAAGCAAAUGUGACAACAGUCCCACAAUAUUCAAAAUAUUGAUAUAAACAUGCCAAAAUAUUUCAUUUAAGAUUUGAUUUCUUUGUAAUAUAGUUCAUAAAUACUUGUGUAAAUUUCUCAUUCAUUCUUGUUCCAGUUGGAGUACAUAAUCAUGGUCCUAGAAGUAUUUAGUUGUGAAGGCUUCAGCUACAAAUGUAUCAGGAUUAAGUUCUUGUUAAGUUGAACGGUUCAAUCGUUUGUCUCCCAUGAUGGACAAGGAGUAGGUGGGUUGUGAGCAGUUCAUUGUUAAAAUACUUAAAACUACCUGUCUACAUUAAGCUAACACUGGCAGCAGUUUUUGUGAUAGGAUUAUAGAGAAUGAGAACAAAUUAACAAGUUCUCAAUUAUUCUGUUUCACUCAUUUCAAGCAGUCAUGAAGGAAAUAGACCAACUCACUCAUGUAUGAUAUAUCCAAGUAGCAUUCAGCAGCUAGGAGGAACUGCAUUGCAUGCGCUUCUUAUUAUUAUUAUUCAAACAAGGGAACACACAAUAACUUACUGGUACAUUUUACAUAAAACGUCGUUGCUCCAAGAGACUUCUAUUCUUGAAGCACAUUUAUUCUUCCUAGACAACUUUUAGUUAUUAGAAGCGCAGAUACGGUUGAUUGAUUCAGCGCCCCUCCUGGUUAAGCUGAACAUUUACGGUUGCCACAGAUACUGCCCAAACGAGGUGAUGGUAUAGCAUUAACAAGUGCAGCAACGAUUUUCUCGACAUUUACUGCAAGAAGAGCAUCAUAACGGUCACUCGAAUCCUCUCCUUCUUCUGCUCCAGCUAAAUUAGCCAGUCCGCGGAUGGCAAUCACUUCUGACUUGCCAUUCGACAAGGAUGUCUGCACAUAACCAAAGACAAGUCAACUUGCUGCUCCCAUGUAUGCACUACUGUUUUCUUGGGGUCAGUUUGAGAGGAUAAAUUUGAGAUCAGAUAUUCAGUUGCAGGGAAGAUUCUUCAAAUUGGUUCUAGUUUGAUGAAGAAACGCUUUCACAAAAGAAUAAAGUAGAAGAAAGCAGUGAGGAUGAAAGUACUCUGGUAACAAGACAAUAAAAAUUACCAUGAAUACUGCUGCGCUCUCCAUAUCAAUGGAUGAAACAUUGAAAGUACUGUGGAGGAAAUUGCUGUAAGCUGCAUUCUCAACAAAAAAGUCGGCAGUUGUGCCCUUGACUCCAAGAACUAGCUUAGGCUGUUUCGGGAGGCAAACGCCAGCUAGGCACAGGUCUAGCUCAAUUCCCUGUUUGAACAAAACUACCACCGUCAGAAUCAAAAAGAAUUUACUAAAUUGAAAUGUGCGAAAGGGGUUAUUUUAUUUUCGCUUGAAAUAGAAUUUGGCAACAUAAAAUAAAGGUAAUUCUAGAUCUGAAUCUGUGCCUUAUUACCUCUAGAGUGGAAGCGAUUUGCAGCAAAUUCUCGGAUGCCGGGAACCAAAAUUUUCUUUCAGGAACAUCAGGCUCUCCUGUCACGGAAAAGAAGUGCUCUUUCAUAUAAGCCACGCGACCCAACAGAUUAAAUCCGAAUGAGGGAAUGUGAUAGCGUCUGAACUCUAGGUCAGCAACCCCAUUAUCUGGCUGUGGUGCUGUCUCGGAUUUCUGCAAUAUGCAUGCAUGCAUGCCCAGAUGAAGAUACACGCAAAAAUGUAAUUCCUCGAAUAUUGAAAAAAAAAAAAACACGUAGAAUAAUUUUGAAGCAAGGAAAGGACUAAAAUUUUGUCCACUUCACAGAAACAUAAAUAAAUAAAGAAAAUGCGGAAUUCAAUUGCACCAUCAGGUAUUUAGACUUUCCAUUAAUCGGAGCUGCUGUCUACUGCAUACGGAGUGAGGAGAAAAGCAUCAUCCAAAUUCAAAAGGCAACUGGUUCAUAAGCCUUGCUUGCGAAUUUCAGUAAUUAGCACAUUUUUCAAGCCUUUUUUCUCUUUCUUUCUUUCCUUUUUUUUUUUUUAUAAGUGAGAGAUCAUAAAUCUAAAAUCUUCUACUUACAGUUCAUUUCACCUUAUCACCCAACUCAACUCUCCCCUCUUCAACGUUUUGUUUCCACGGUUCUUUUAUCAAGUUGAGUGUAGUGAUUGAAUUGUUGGCAGUUGGCGCUGAUUGUGUGCGCUUGAUUUUGAGAAUCAUUCUCAUUGAAAACGCUUAGACGCUUAUGCUUUAUGAAUCUUUAGGUUUUACCUUUAAGGGAAAAAAAAAAAAAACAAAGAAACAAAGGAAUUAAUAUUACCAGCCAGUCCCAUAAUCCAGUUUGAGAAAACUGCGUUGGGAUUAAAACAUCUCCUAAGGACAGGGAACUGUCGGCGCCGCCCGCACUGCCAUAGUGUAUAACUGCUCUAAUUGGGAAGAUGUCCAACAGUAGUUGGGUCGUUGCUGCAGCAUUCACCUGAUUAAUCCAAUCCAAGCAAAAUUAUUGAAACCUUUUUUUUACUCGUACAAAAGCUCCCAAACUAACGAAGGGUGGCAAAACUAGAAACUGGAACCCAUUGGAACUCAAUCACGCUUACCAGGCCAGUUCCACAUCCGACGAUAAUGACACCAUUAGACCCUAUGGUCCCGAUGUGAAAACGCCUGCCUGCAAUGAAAUAAAUUAUUAGGUGAUAAAAAGUCAGCAACAAAUUUCGAUCAUUAUUAUGAGGAAGCUAGGAAAAAAAAACAGUAGUGGAAUUAAUGGUUGCGUAGCAGAUUUAAUGCAUGGGAAAUAUAUAUUUAUAUAUAUAGAUAUUUGCCUGACAAAUCCACGUAGGGGAAAUCUGGAUCAGGCUUGAAGGCACCAUCAACAGAAAAGGGUGUCUCCUGAUUGCCGCUACCAGAGGAGAUAAGACCAAGAAAAGGCGGUCUAACAGACAACUCCUUGAUUGCCCGAGGCAAAGGAGCGGCUAAAACAUUGACCGCUAGAGAAGAAAUCACAACUGAAACCAGUAAAAGCAAUUUCGUUUGUUUUCCAGCCAUUUUAUGCUACUUGUAUCGCUCUCCUAAUCUCCUUGCUCUCUCAACUCGACUGCAUGGUGCCUAUUUAUAGCACAAAUUGCGGUAAGAUUUGCCAGCUACCAUCUGUAAAUACACUCUUUUAACUUUUCACCACAAACCAUAUUCUCUCCUGCGUUAUUAAUAUUGUCGCUUUCCAAAUUAUGUUUCUGGGUCCAAAUUAACCGCACCGUCAGAAACAAAUUGACUCGCUAAAGUCAGUAAUCAGUAAUGUGGUCCAACAUUUCAAUUAUUUUCACAAGAAUUAAGGUCUACCAGUUGUAGCACUUCCUCGAUCAUCAGAUAUCAUUACUUACAAGUCAUAAUAUGGUUAUCAUUUCAUGUUCUUUGCAACCAGCCACACUGUAAUCUCAGACAUGCUUCCUUAAACAUGGACCGAAUUGUGUUGUUAAAAGUUUAAGCAUUAAAAAAAAAAUUUUGAUUUUGAUGCAUCAUUUAACUACACGGUUUCCUAAUUCUUUAAAAAAAAAAAAAAACCUAACAAGUAUGCCUGAAAUUUCAGAGCUUUCGAGGAAGCAAACGGCUGGCUUUCUGGCCGAUGAUUGAUGACUAAGGAUUUUUUUUUUUUUUUUUUUUUGGUGAAUGAUUGAUUGAGGUAGGAGAUGGAGAUAGGCCAUAUGCAUCACGCGCUAUAAAUACUAGUGGUAAGAAUAAAAACACCAUUUUUUUUGCUUUGAGCUGCAAAAGAAAAGAAUAAGAAUAAAUUAAUCAGAUUUAAAUACAUGUCACGUCCGGUAGAUAUUAAGUGCUUGUUCCGAGCUGGUUAUUAUUGUCAAGUUUGUUAGCUAUGGAACACAAGCCCAACACCAACGUGGAGAUUGAAGAUGUUAUGUUUCACAAAAAAGCAUUGUAUAAAGGCACACAUUGAUAUUAGUUAAUUAGUAAGUACUCUUUUUUUAAGAAAAAAAGAAUUAAAGUUAUUUAACUCCUUGACGACUGAAAUUCGUGACCCCUCAGUUACGAAUAAAGUGUGUGUUUUACCAAUUAAAUCACGUUACAUUAUCUUACACAUUGAUAGUUGUAGGCCUUGAACAAGAAAAAUAUUAAGUUGAAGCAAUCAAGUGAAACUUGUAGUGCAAGGGAGUUGAUAUUCAUACUAAUCUAAGUGCACAUAGCUCGCAUAACAUGAAACAAAGUUUGACAUGGAAUUGGAACAAAAUUGUUUCCUAAGAUGCUCUAUGCAAUGAAAUACCCUUAAAACUUUGGUAUUUGACAUAAAAUGCCAGCCAUGAAUUCAACAAUCACAAUAAACAAAUCGUGCAAAUGUUAAAAGUUAAAAUGCCUGAAAUCAAUUUCUUGUGGCCCGCAUAAGAGCCAAUGUCACAAAGAGCCCUAAAACUACUUUCGCCACAAUAAAAGCGUGCGAAAGAAAGAAGCCAUAUAUGCUUGGAGCUGAGUGACAGGGCUGUCCCUUUCUAACCAACGAAGAUAAGAUAGAAGGGGCCGAUCGAGCUAGGAGCCUAGGAAUGCUCAUACGGGUCCAAUAUGUGAGCUGAUGCAACACUGUACACUUCUAAAUGUACAUAGCUCGCAUAACAUGAAACAAAGUUUGAGAUGAAACCUUAUCCAAAUGUAGUCGCUUCCUAGUGCAAUUACCACAUCGAAUGGUUUUACUUGGAUGUUGUGAUUUUCCUCAUUUCCUAUCCUUUUACUUAGUGUCACUUGAUUUUCACUAUUGUCUGCCCGCAUCUUCCUACUACAUAAUCAAAGAUAACCUUGAAAACAGUUCAUAUUUUCUAUUCAUGAAAAAUUGUUUGUGGAACUUGUGGUUUGCAUUCAACAUUCUGAAAAGCUAACUUAUACUAGUUCGUUUCUCUUUUAUACCCACUCGUUAUAGAUAGUUGUGCAGACGGCAAAUAUAGAUAAACGUGAUAGAAUUUUGACAGAUAUAGGUUUUCUGUUGUAUCAAUGCAGGAGCUACGAGCCCAUCAGUUAUCUUCAUCCGAUACCUUGAGUUCCUAGCUAGCCCUGUAAUGCAUGAACAUCAUAGGGCAAACCUACAGAAGAAGAAAGAAUGAAAAAUAGUGAUACGUACAUUCUGACGUGGUAACAGCAUCCUAUAAUGCUUUUAGAUGUAAAACGUAUAAACAAUGCAACUUUGUUGCUAAAGAACAAAGUGCAGAACAAAAUUGUUUCCCAAAAUGCUCCGAGCAAUAAAAUAGUUUUGAAACCUUCGUAUUUGGCAUAAAUUGCCAGCCGUGAAUAGAGUAAAUGGAGAAAAAUGUCGUCAAACUGUUACUUUUAUCGCUUUUCAUCACUUAGUUAUUUUUGUAGCUAAACAAUGUAUACACUAUUAUCGUUGGAUACAUGACAUGUGUAUGAAAGUUGAAUUUCAAAUUCAAAUUUUGCAUAAUUGUCAAUCAUCCAAUGCUGAUAGUUGUCAAAUUCAAAUUUUACAUAGUUAUUAAUCAUCCAACGCUGAUAGUGUAUACACUGUCAGUUUUGGAAAGAUUAAUCCAUUUUUUUUUUUUUAACAAAGGCUCUCACAGUCUCACUCCCAAAAUUGGGCCUUUUGCACGAUACCUAACGAUGCUAAAAUCCUCACCUGAACUGACUAGAAUACAAUUCACCCAAGCUGCUCUUGUAUGUUCUCUGUGGACAUCACCCAAGCUACCAUGACAGCUACCGUAGAUUAUUUGUGCUUUUAGGAUUUUUAUUGUUCCACAACGAGAAAACUGUAGUUAGGAGAAGCUGAUAUGAUUUUUUUUUUAAAGACUCUGACUAUUUUGUCCUUAGAGCUCUUUGCGCAUAUCAUGCAUGCGAUUUUCUAGUAGCAUUUAUAGCCUAAAUAUAAUAGGAUGACCAAGAAGUUGCAUUGUUUUUAAUAGUUGGGUGACACUUUUUAGUGAGGAUAAAAAAAAAGUUAAGUGACAUUUUUUACUAAGAAAAAAGUUAGGUGACAGAGAGAGAUAAAAGGUAAUAAUUUGAUCACAUAUUGCACCAUUUGGCCUGAAAAUAACAAUCACAACAAACAAAUCGGACAAAUGUAAGAAUGGACGGAAACAAUUUCUCCUGGCCCUGGCCCUGGCCCGCAGUAGAGCCCAUCUCACAAAGAGCCCUGAAAGCACUUUCGCCACAGCAAAAGCGUGCAAAAAAAAAAAAGCCAAGUGGCGGGGCUGUCCCCUUCCGACCGACGGGAAAAACAUAAAAGCCAAGCGAGGAUAGGAAUCCUCGCAUGGGUCCAUUAUUGUUUUAAAUUAAAACCGUGCAAGUGGAUCGACGUUGCUAUCUUCAACCCGGACCGUUAAUUGAACCGGUGAAGUAAAAGGAUCGAAAUUCAAUCUGUCGUAUCGGUUCAACCUCGGUUCAAUGAAUUUUUUAAAAAAUAAUUUAUAUAAAUAUAUAUAUGCACAAAAUAAGACAUGCAAUAAACUAAUUUAAAACUUUAUAUGAUGAAAAGUUUACUAUUUUUGAAUAACUUGGAUUUUCAAAAAUAAAUUUUUUAAAUUAUAAGUUAAAACAAAUAAAUUUAUUUCAAUUUCAAUUAUAUCUAGCAAAAUAAUCUUAAAUCUAACCCAAAAAUAUCACAAUAUUUUAAAAUUAUACAAAAUUCACGUCUAUGAGAAUUUGACAUUGUGAACUUAAAUUUUAAUUUACAUCUUUGGGAUUUAGAGAUUGCAAUUUAAAAAAGAAAGUUUGGAGUUCAAGGGAAGUCAAGAGAAUUGAAAACAGAAAUGCAAACUUGAUAAGAAAUAAAAAAUGAGAUAAAAGUGAGUGGUUGUAGUAUUAAAUAAUUUGGGUUAAAGAAAAAUAAUUCUUUUUUAACUUUUUUCAAUUUAAUGGACAAAAACAAAAUUAAAAAGAUGGAAGAAAACAUCAAUAAAUUAAAACUAAAGAGAUUUGAUUAAAAAGGGAGUGACAAAAAAAAAAGGAGAGAGAAAGAGUUGAAGAUUAAAAAGAAAAAGUCAUGAGAGAAUGAGAUUUUGUAAGAAAAAUGAAAAAAAAAAUAUGGAUGUUUGUUUUAUAUAUAUAAGUUAUCAAAAAAAACAAAUAAGAUAUGAUGGUGCAAUAAAACCCUACAUUGGUCUUCUGUUACAAAAGUCUUGAGUUCAAAUCUUGAUAGAAGUAUUUUGCAAAACUUAAAAAAAAAAAAAAAAAAAAAGAGGGGAAACUUGAAAAUCGGUUCGAUCCGGUUUAGCGAUUUUCAAGAUUUUGAUCGGUUUUCUGACAAAGUCAACACUAUCAUAGAAUCGGAUCGAUACCAUGGCCGGUUCACAAUUCAACCGAUCAAACCGACCGAUCCGAUGCAGUUUUCAAAACACUGGAUUCCACAAGGAGAUAAGGAAAUCGCCACUAGGCCUUUGGCCUGGUGGUCACCACCAACUUGCUACUUUUUUUUUGUCUUUGCUAAUUUCUCAUUUUUUUCUUCGUCUCUCUCUCCCUCUCACACACACACACACACACAAAGAGACACACAUCCCCCCAAACAUGCCAACCUCGGACUCACAUUCCCUUUCUUCCUUUAUGUUUACAUAAAUUCUCUCAUAAAGCAAGGCAUCUCUUCGUUCCAUCAUUUUCUUACCCUUUAAUCUCAGCCUUGACUCCCUGUUUCUUUUUUCUUGUCUCUCUAUCCCUUUCCUUUUAUAUUUUUUUACUUGGCAAGCAUUCUCUGUUGAUUCCUAUGAAGACAUAUUUCCACCAUCAUUCUUGAUCUCUUUAUUAUCAAUUUAAAGGAGUAAAACACAGUUCGAGGUGGGAUUUAUUUUUUUCUGUUGUACAUGCACUUCACUAAGAACAGUACAAAACGGACUAUCCAAAAUGUAAUGAACUUUUACUCCACUUACAAUCUUAUUAAGAACUUCCCAACUGCGACAACAGCAGUUUCCCAUAUCUAACAAUCUUCGUGUAUCAUAACUAUGUUUCUCACAAAUUCUUUUUAUAGAGCCAUCCGGAUGUUUUUUUAGGUUGAAAGCCAUCCAAAUUUUAUUAGAAAAUCAACUAUUUUUAAAUACUUAUUCAUAUACCUUUAACUGUUCAACUGCAACAUCGUCCAUGAAUAUCAUAGCAAGUCUAAAUUCAUGAAAUUGCUCUAAUAAAGCAUGAAAUUACCAAUUGACAAAACUUCUGAUAGCGAGAUAUGCCCAUGCAUUACAUUUCUUAAGGUCUGACAUUAAUCGAAGGCAAUAACAAAUUGCCAAACAAACUGCGCAUGAUAAUCCUCUACCACAAAUUAAUUGAGGAUGAAAAAGUCAGGUACUAAAUGAUUCAAGCUUUCAUCAAUCCGUAAACAAUUCCUAAUCUUCUAAGCAAAUCCGAGUUCCAAAAUUUUCAACUCUCAUUUUCAAUAAUAUCUUUUUUGUUUGACAAAUGUGCUAAGCUGCUGACUCUGACAAUCUACCGAUGAAAAUGAAUAAAAUUCAAUUAGACAUUAAAAUGAAUUACAUACAAUUCUGAGAGCCCCGGCAAAGCGAGCUAGAGAGGAAGCAGAUGAUGCGAGUUUUACCGAGGGAGGGAACGGCAGGUGGAAGAGAAAAGCCGAGCUCGGAGAAGGGAAGGUGCUCGAGAGAUCACCGGAUUUCGGAGCCUAGAUAGCGCCAUGGAUCAUCCGCAAGCAGAUUCGGGCUCUAAGUUUUCCCUGCCUUCGUUAUGCAGAAGAUUACAGAGUAUGAAUUAAACUCAGUUAAUAUGUUAGUAUGUUAAUCAAAAGGGAGUUGAACAAAGUCGAAGAGGGGCUCUUCUUUUAUUACUAAUUAAUUUUUGGGUGUGGAAUUAAAUGAAAAGUUUUUUAUUCUUUUUCUUCGGAAUCCGUACUAAUUGUAAUGGUAACUUGUCAAACUAACCCCUCUUAUUCAUGCUUUAAAGAGAAAUUAAAAAUAGUUUUUUGAAAGCUUACUUUUUUUGUCUUUUUUACGGAAGAUACAAUUUGUACAUGCAAAUGCAGUCAAGAGAGAUGUUUAAGUAAUAGUAUGAGAAAUAAAAAGAUAAAUAAAAGGAUUAUUAUCACUUUACCUCCUUAAACUAUAUCAUUACUGUUAAUUUAUCCAUUAAUAUUAUCUUUUAGUCAUUUCACCCCAUAGGUGUUUUCAGACUCAGAUCGGGCAUCAACUCGAUCAAACUUAGGGGUCGAUCGGGGUUGAACCGGAUGAUAUCAUAAUUAAAAAUUAAAAUAUUGUAUGUAAAAUACUUAAGAGGAUAUUAAUAUUAAUAAAUGUAUAUUCAUAUAUAUUUGAUGUUUCAAAUAUAUUUAAGAAAAUACAAAGGAAUUAGAAUGAUCAAGUAGCAAUUUAUAUUAUUAAAUGAACAUUAACAAGUUUAGAAUUAAAAUUAUGGAUUUGAUUGAAAAAUAACACUAAACUUUAGGACAACAUGAAAUAUUUGAGAUAUAUUAAUAAUUUUUAACAACCUUGAGGCCAAAAUAUAUUAUUGAAAAUGCUUUGACCUUUAAAAAAAAAAAAAAAACUUGACAUCAAACUGGUUCAUCCAGUUUGCCGAGUUUUUAUACAUCCAAUCUUUUGGAGUAACUCAAACCGAACACUUCACCGGUUUCAAUUUGACCGGUCAAACCAGUCGGUCCGGUCCGAGUUUAAAAACACAACCCAUAAGUAAUUCAACUCAGUAUGUUAAUAAAAUUUUGACAAAAAUAUCCUUUUAUUUUAUAACAUUACUGCAUUGUUAUUAUCACUUUAUCCCUUUAAAUUAUGGUGAUAUAAUCGCUUUAUUUUCUAGAUAUUUUACCUUAUCAUUAAUCUAAAAAGUAUGUUUAAAAAUUUUUAAAUGUAUUUAUCUUUUUUAUAUAUAAUUAAAAAUAAUAAGGUUGUAAUAAUUAUUCUUCAUUUUUUCGACUCUAAGAUUUCAAAAACAUAGCAAUAAAAGGGUUUUUUUUAAUUUCUUUUUUCACACUUAUUAAUACUAGGAAAAGAAAAGGAGAUAGGACAAAGGAGUCAAAAAAUUAGAUUUUGCAAAUAAAGAAAAUAAGGAAGAAUAUAAUAUUAUCGUAUUAUUUUAAUAUUUUCGGAAUUAGGAUUGGAAUUGGGUAAUAAACAGAAAAGUAAAAGUAAUUUCAAAAUAAUAAAAAUAUUGAAUUCUUUCUUAUUUGUAUUAAAAAAAGAAUUGUGCUCUCUCCCUUUCCCUCCCCUAUUUUUCUUUUUUUUUUUAAUAUUAAUAAGAUUGUCAAGAAGAAAGAGAUUAAUGUUUUGACUUUUUUUCUUGAUACUAAAAAGGAGAAGAGUCAUUCUAAAUUUUUUAUUGUUUUUAUUAUAUAAAAAGAGGGUACUAUCUUCUAAAAUUUUUUAACUUAUUAAGCUGGUUUAAUGGUAGGAUAAAUUGAUAACAAGAUUAUAGUUUAUGGGGGUAAGGUGAUAAUAAUUUUAACGGUUAAACAUGUCUUAUCACUUAGAUUAAUAAAUUCCGUUAAAUUUGAUCAUUAGUCUUGAGGGUAAAAUGACUAAAAAAUAACGUUAAGGGGGAAAUUGAUAGUAAGACCCAAUGUUGAGGGGGUAUAGUAAAGUGAUAAUAACCCUAAAUAAAAAGGAAUUCAUUUUACAAAUUUUAGUUGCACAAAAAUUAACUAAAUUACAUGAAACAAAACCAACCAAAUGGAUGCACUUAUUUUUAAUUCCACUAUUUUUAACUUAAAUUAGAAAAUCCCUUUCAUAAUUUCCCUACUUUGUUAGUUUUCCAUAUGAAAAAAACUCCAACUUUGGUUUCCAUAUGGCAUCAAAACUGGAAAACAGAUAUGUACAACAACAAUUGUAGGCCUACACAGGAAGGGUGAAGAAACAAGAGUGAGAAACCCUAGUAAUGUGGAACCAUCUGAAUUAAACUGCUAAAGAAGGUGAACAACAGACAAUGAAAACCUUGAUCGUAUAUUCUUGGUUUUGGUUUACAAUUUCCCACACCAAUAUGCAUUUGAUUAUAAGGAUGCUGAAUAUUUUAAUCUUAUCAAGUGAAACACUAAGUGUUUUCCUUUGCCGCAUGCCUGUGACUGCUAUGAAACUUUUUUAUCAAAUAUUGAUCUAUACAUGCCAUAAGUAACUUGUAAAUUUUAUUCAAGAUUUGAUUUCUUUGUAAUGUAGUUCAUAAAUACUUGUGUAAAUUUCGCAUUCAUUCUUUUUUCUAGUCGGAGUACAUAAUCAUGGGCCUAGAAGUAUUUAGUUGUGAAGGUUUCAGUUACAAAUCUAACCAUAAUACCUGUUACUUUCAAGAUCUCUCAAUAUGAAAGAAACACAGAAAAAUGCUUCACCCAAGAUUGGCCUUGGAGGAAUGGCAAGAAAUUCUUAUUCGAAAUGUGAGAAAACGCUUUGAUGGUACAUGUUUAUUCCAAAAAGCCUUCAGUGCACAAUGAAGUCAGUCUAGUUUUGUUUCUUUGUUUAUUAGCAAAUGAGUUCUCAAACUCCUCUUGAUUAACUUGAAUCUCUGUUGCGGCUAAAUAGACUGUUGAAAGUGAAAUCCUCGCAAUGUCUUCACAAAUUGGACAACAGCCUUGGCUACAUUUGAUGCUGCAAGAGGGCCAAACAGACGAAUAGUAUUGUCUCCAUCUUGUGCUCCAGCUAAAUCUGACAGUCCUCGUAUGACAAUUACCUUGAAGCCAUUCGAUAAACAUGUCUGCAAUUCCAGAAAACAUGAACAUAACAAGUUAUCUUGACUAGUAAUUAUGCGCCCCGAGUUUCUAAGCAGAUAUAUUCUUCAGAUUAGUUUUGGUGCGAGGCGUUUACCAUGACUAUGACUGCACUCUCCAUAUCAAGUGAUGAAACAUGAAAAGUUGUAUAGAGGAACUCCCUGUAAGCUGCAUUGUCCACAAAAAUGUUGGCAGUUGCGCCAUUCAGUCCAACAACUACCUUGGGCUUUUCAGGAAGGCACAAGCUCGAGUUCACGCACUGUUCCAGCGCCAUCCCCUGUAUUAGUGAAAAUGCAUCCAUUAGAUUCAAGGGCUAGUUGAAGACAACUUAAGAGGAAAAAAAAUGUUUUAGGCAGCAGCAAUUAGCUGGCUGCAAAGCGAAUGAGGAUGUUACGUAUUAGCGAUAAGCAACCCACCUCCAGACUAGAAGAUACUUCUAGCCAAUUCUGACUUGUCUGAAACCAAAGUGUUCUUUCAGGAGCAUUAGGCUUUCCUGACUUAAGAGUAGAAGAACUCCGUCCAAUACCCAAUGCUCCCCAACUCAUUGUCUCCUCCAUUGGGAACAUCACAGCUUCCAAAGUCCAGUUCAGCAACAUCAUUUGUCGGUAUUGUUGCCUUGAAUUUCUGCAAAAUGAAGAGAUUGUACGCAAAUAAACUCGUAGUCUGCAUAUACUGAGGCAGGAAAUGAGCCAAAUGAUUAUUACCACCCAGUCCCAUAACCCUGUUUGAGCAAACUGCUUAGGGAUGAUGACAUCUCCCAUGGACAUGGAACAGUUAACAUUGCCUGCAAUGCCAAAGUUUACAAUUCCAAUCAUGCGAAAGACAUCCAACAUCUGUUGUGUUGCAGCUGCAGCAUUCACCUGGGCGUACUACAAUUAGACAUUUCUUGAGGUAGUACUACUUAACAGAAAAAAAACAAUGGCCGAAAUAGAAAAAUUCUUUAUUGCCAGCAAAUCCUUCAGUGAUUAACAGAAAAAAUCCUUCAGUGAUUAUCAACAUGAAUAGCUGAGCAAAUGAAAAUGAUUUUGCCAGCACUGAAGCUCUUAAGCAAGCAGUAUCUUUGCUUACGCGUUAAAUACUUCUGUCCAACCUUACCGAUCAACUCAACUUUAUGAUUUGUGAACUAGAUUGGCCAGUGAACUAAAACACCAUAGUUGCUGAUCACAAAUCAUAACAACUACAAGCAACUAUCUGUAAUAACCAGACCAGAAGAAUGUGAAAUGAACCUACCAUUCCCACUCCACAUCUUACAUAAAUGACUUUUGAUCCUUCUAUGCUCCCUACGCGAAACCGCCUCCCUGUAAGAAACCAACCACCAUUUUCAAUCAUCAUAAACGAUACACUUGCUCUCUUAGUACCAUAUUGAAGCGUAUGUAUUGGGGAUUGAUCAUGUACCUGACAAAUUCACAAAAGGGUGCUUCGGGUUAUGCUUGAAGGCACCAGUAGCGAAAAAAGCAUCUUCUUCUGGGCUAUAAACCGUAAUAAGACCAAGAUAAGGUCGCAUUUUUUUUAAGAGUGUUAGUGCUGUCCUUCACAGUCAGCAAAUAAUCUUCAUUUGUCAAAGUUGAGAAGCGUUCUUAGGCACGUUUGUCAGUAGUUUCACAGUUCAAGACUUUAAUGUAAUUCGGGUCCAAUAUGGCAUCGGCCAAAAUUUAGACAUUGUAAUUGAAACAUUUAAAAACCCUUUUCAAGCUCUAGGAAGUACGAAGCACGUACAAAUCUGCCAUCAUUUUUUUGGUAAAAUGGUACGUCAAUAGUUGAAUUUUGCCUUGCUUUUGUGUACCAUUAUUAUUCUAAUAGAGUAAAUCUUAUAUACAAUAAUGGUAUAUAUAUUAUCACUGUUGAAUAUAUGACAUAUAUGCAAAAUUUGAGUUUCAAAUUCAAAUUCGGAUUACGUGUCAUGCAUCUAAUUAUAAAAGUGCGUACACUGCCAGUGUAUAGAAGAUUAAUAUUUAUUAAUAACUUAAAAUUAUUCCUUGGACCAACUCAUGUUAAUAGCAAAUCUAAUUGUUUAGGCACUGGUUUAGCUCAAUUUCCUGUUUGAACAAAACUACCACACUUAGAAUCAAAAAGAAUUUACUACAUUGAAAUGUGCGAAAGGGGUUGUCUCAUUUUCGCUUGAAAUAGAAUUUGGCAACUUAAAAUGAGGGUAAAGAGAAUGUUAAUUCUAGAUGUGAAUCUGUGCCUUAUUACCUCUAGCAUGGAAGCGAUUUGCAGCAAAUUCUUGGACGCCUCGAACCAAAGUUUUCUUUCAGGAGUAUCAGGCUUUCCUGUCUCGGAAAAGAAGUACUCACUCCAAUAAGCCACGAGACCCAACUGAUUAUAUCCGCCAGCGGGAAUGUGAUAGCUUGCGAACUCUAGCUCAGCAGCAUCAGUAUCUGGAUGUGUUGCUACCUUGGGUUUCUGUAGUAUGCAUGCAUGCCCAGAUGAAGAUACAUACAAAAAUGUAAUUCCUUGAAUAUUGAAAAAAAAAAAAAGAAACACGUUCAAUACUUUUGAAGCAAGGAAAGGACUAAAAUUUUUUCCACUUCACAAUAAAAUAAAUAAAUAAAGAAAAUGAGGAAUUCAGUUGCACCAUCAGGUAUUUAGGCUUUCAUUAAUUGGAGCCGCUGUCUACAGUCUACUGCAUAUGGAGGGAGGAGAAAACCAUCAUCCAGAUCCAAAAGACAACUGAUUCUUAAGCCUUGCUUGCAAAUUUCAGUAAUUAGCACAUUUUUCACAUUUUUUCUCACAUUUUUUUCGUAAGUGAGAGGUCAUGAAUCUAGGUGCUUCUACUUGUCAUUCCUCCCAUCUUACAAUACAAUCCAACCCUUCCCUCUCUAGCAUUUUGAUUCCUGAGGAUGGUUAUUCCAGCUCGGGUAUCCCGAGGUCUCGCCCAGUAAUAUCUCUUGAAGCGCCACCUCGGCGGUUAUCAGUUGGGGUGACAUCCACCUCAUUACCGUCUCGACUAACAUCCGUAGCCGAGGUGACACCAGGGCAUCCGACAAUUGUAGAGAGGUGAGAUGUGACCUCUGACACCCCUGACACCUCCGACGCUUGACGGAAAGCUGCUCUGACACGCCGUCUGAACCUGACGGAUGUCCCAUCACGUCCUUUCAUAGAGAUCAGUCAAGUCCAUCAGAUGCAAUGACCAUAUCAGAUCUUUAGGGACCCGUGCUGGCAGUCCCUCUCUCCUAUCCGUCUUCUAUAAAUACUCAACACCUUUACUGAGAAGGGGCAUGACCAAUUUUCUGGUAACACACUACUCCCUUCUAUUACACUAUCUCUUCAUAACCGAACUAACUUGAGUUUCGGAGUUAUAACAGGGGAUCCAGCCCCUCUUUCAACCUAAGCAGGUGACCUCGUCCAAGAGAACUGCCCAGGAUAAAAAUACUUCUCUAGUGCGGGUGACUCACUCCAACGGGACGAAAAUCACCUCUUCAAUUGGCGCCGUCUGUGGGAACCCGAAGACAUCAGAAUAUGAAGCCUGCGCGUUCAAGGAGCCGAAAAGCUCUCACUAUUGGGGCUGAGCAAAGCAACGCAGCCCACCAGGAAGACAUCUCUGAAGGGCAGGAGUCCCCAAGGACUCAACCCGCCAACGAAGAAGCCAUAACCCGUAUGGCCGAGUUUGUAAACGAAAACCCCAACAUCUUUGAGGAGUUGGGUAGGUACCUUAAGAGGCAAGACAAACAGAAGGCUGAAUCCUCUAAAAGGAAGUCGGAUGGAUCUCCUGAAAACUCAUCUGAAGAGGAGUCGGAUGGGAGGCGCCUAAGCCGAAGUGCCUCAAAACGGGCAUUCUCCAAGACCACCUCUAAGGUAGCCUCAUUGACAAAGGCCUUUUCCCGAGGACUCUUGGGACGGCGACCUGAGGAAGAACCUCGGCCCCUGGGAAUACCCGGGGUGAAUUACAUGAGGGCUUCACCCUUCACUGAUGACAUCAAUUAGGAAAGGCUUCUUCCAAAUUUCAAGCUCCCCGCGAUACCGUCUUAUGACGGCCGAGGUGAUCCUGAGAAUCACAUUCACGCCUUCAUCUCGGCCUUCCGCUUAUACUGCAUCCCUGACCCUGUCAUCUGCCGGGCUUUCCCAGUGUUCCUCCAGGGGACUGCUCGAAAAUGGUUCUGAAGAUUAGAACCUAGGAGCAUUUCAACCCUGGGAGAAUUGGUGGAGAGAUUUCUCCAUCGGUUCAUCUCCUCCCGACCUACGACCCGGACCUCAACUUACUUGCUGAACCUGCAGCAGAAUUCGGGAGAGUCACUUCGGUCGUAUGUCCAGAGGUUUCAUGAUGAGAGUGUACAGAUACCUGACCCCAAUGAGCAGGUUACCAUCGCUGCCUUUACCCAUGGGCUCGUCUCCGGAGUGUUCAACACGAAAAUUCACAAAAAAUAUCCCCGCACUCUCCACGAGCUGUGGUUAAAGGUCGAGAAGGGCAUACAAGCUGAAGACCUCAACCGCAUGAAGAAGGAGAUCCAAGCCACCCGCCCAAAGGCUGACCCUCGAAGGGGGAAAGAUGUUGGCCGAAGUGAAGCCGGGACAGGGAGUACUUUCCAAAGUCCUGGCCGAAAUCGCCGCAGCAUGUUCGACAGGAUUUCCAAGGGGAAAACAUUCAUCCCUGAGUCCGAACUGACUCCCUUGAACACCACUCGAUCUCGGGUGUUGUCCGUAAUAGAACAGAACAAUCUCGGGAAAGCACCUCCCAAGAUGUACGGCAGCAGGGAUAAGAGGAACUCGAACCUCUACUGCCUAUACCAUCGAGAUAUAGGGCAUGAAACCGAGGACUGCAACGAUCUCAAGAGGGAGAUCGAGAACCUCAUCCGACAAGGACACUUGAAGCAGUUCAUCCGCCGAGGUGGAGGUCAUCAGUGUGACGAAAACCGACGUGAUAGACGAGGUGACCAACGCCGAGACGAGAGGCGGACGUCAAGAAGCAGCUGCUGGCCUCCUGAGGAUCCUAGGGAGACAAAAAGGCCUCCCCGAGAUGGAUCUUCAGGCCAGGGGCUAGGGUAUGGGCCAAACAUUGCCGGAAUCAUUAACACUAUUGCCGGAGGUCCGACGGGAAGAGAUAGCCAGAACUCCCGGAAGAGAACCUACAGGCAAGCUAACCCGGAUCAGGUAGAGUCGAGUUCUCGCCUAUCCGAAGUCAUUUCCUAUGGCCCUACCGAUCCUGUCCCAGCCGCCUCGAGUAGCCACGAGGCACUAAUAAUCGAGGUGCUCGCUAACAAUUACAUCGUUAAGAAAGUUUACAUUAACCCCGAGAGUUCGGUAGAUGUCAUGUAUCUCCGCACUUUUGAGAGUCUUAAGUUGGCUAGGGAGCACAUGACUCCGGUGCGGACUCCCCUUGUAGGGUUUGGGGGACACAUCGUCCACCCCGAGGGAAUUGUGACCCUGACGGUGACCGUGGGGCACCACCCCCGCUGCCGAACUAUCCCUGUGAACUUUGUGGUGGUUAAGGCCGACUCCCCAUACAACUUGCUCUUAGGUCGACCCACUCUUAAUGCUCUGCGGGCGGUGUACUACACCUACCACUUGAGUUUCAAAUUUCCUACCAUCGCGAGAAUCGCCGAGGUCAGUAGCGACGUCUGCGCUGCUCGGGAGUGUUACCUCGCCACCUUACAAGCAGCCUCCACAUCGACCGCCGAUGUGAGACCCGAGAAGAGGUCAAGUAUUCUCUCGAUAGAUUGUAUUGAUUCUCAGCAACCCGAGAAGAUCCCAAGGCUGGAAACUGGGGAUGAGGUGGAAGAGAUUCCCCUGGACCCCACGAAACCUGAUCGGAUGGUCCGCGUCGGCACUUAACUGCCGGGCCCGAUUAAAAGAGGUAUGGUGGAUCUCCUCAGAGAGUAUCGGGACGUCUUCGCUCGGGUCGCAGAUGAGGUUCAAGGAGUUCCGCACCACCUCAUGAUACAUGAGCUGAAUGUCGACCCCAAAGUCCGCCCGGUUAAACAGAAAAGAAGGCACCUCGGUCCUGAGCGCAGCCGAGCUGUGCAUGGCGAAGUGGACAAACUCCUGCCCGCGAAGAUAAUCCGAGAGGUCCAAUAUCCAACAUGGUUAUCUAACCCAGUCAUGGUCAAGAAGGACAUCGAAACUUGGAGAAUGUGCGUCGACUUCACCGAUCUCAACAAAGCUUGUCCCAAGGACUGCUACCCAUUGCCCAAGGUCGACAUCUUGGUGGAAUCGGCGAUGGGUUAUGAGGUCCUUUGCUUUUUUGAUGCCUUCAAGGGGUAUCACCAGAUCGGAAUGAGUCCAGAAAAUCAGGAGAAAAUUGCCUUCUACACUAACUAGGCAUAUAUUGUUACACCACCAUGCCUUUCGGACUGAAGAACGCCGGGGUUACGUAUCAACGCUUGGUUAACCAAGCUUUUAAAUCUCAGAUCGGCAGGAUUGUCGAAACCUACGUAGAUGAUAUCCUUCUCAAGAGCCACACGACCUCCACAUUCCUUUCCGACCUAAAAGAAGUCCUGAAAGUCCUUCGGGAGACGCGAAUGAUGCUAAACCCCAAGAAAUGUGUUUUCGGGGUCACUACGGGGAAGUUCUUGGGCUAUCUCGUCUCCAGACGGGGUAUUGAAACAAAUCCGGACAAGGUAAGGGCAAUCCAAGAAAUGUCUCCACCUCGAUGUGUCCGCGACAUCCAGAGGCUGACAGGGCGGUUGGUCGCCUUGAACCGGUUCUUAUCGCAAUCAGCCUCCAAGGCACUGCCAUUUUUCAAAGUUCUCAAGAAGGCCGACAACUUUUCCUGGACUAAAGAGUGUCAACAGACGUUUGAGCAUCUAAAGGAAUACCUCAACCACCUCCCAACACUCACCUCACCUCGCUCGGGGGAUAAGUUAUUCUUGUACCUAUCUGCUGCAGCCGAAACUGUAAGUGUCGUGCUGAUAAGGGAGGAAGGUGUACAAAUGCCUGUUUAUUAUGACAGCCAAGUCCUCCGAGGUCCGGAGACCAGAUACACUCAGGCGAAAAAGCUUGUGCUGGCCUUAAUCCAUGCAGCUCGUAGGCUGAAACCAUACUUCUUAGCCCACCACGUUAGCUUGAGGACUGACCAACCAAUUCGGCAAGUCUUAUCACGGCCAGAGGCUUCUGGACGCCUUACUAAGUGGGCCAUUGAGUUGGGGGAGUACGACUUAUCUUACGAGCCUUGUACGACAAUCAAAGCUCAGGCCCUCGCGGACUUCCUAGCCGAGCUCACUUUUGAUGAGAUGAAUAAAGCCACCCCGGCCACUACCCAGGUUACUACCCCGUCUACCGUCGAGCCUCAACGCUGGACUUUGCAUGUGGACGGUUCGUAGUGGGGCAGGCUUACUUCUCGAAAACCCCCAAGGAGAGGUGUGCUCGUACGCCCUGAGAUUUGACUUCGCUGCCUCCAACAAUGAAGUCGAAUACGAGGCUGUCAUUGCCGGCCUACAACUAACUCGAAAACUCGGGGGCCGCACACAUCUUGAUCUAUAGUGACUCCCAACUCGUCGUGUGUCAAAUACUAGGUGAAUACGAGGCCAGGGAAGAGGUGAUGCAUCGUUACCUCUCCAAGGUCCUCCAGCUGGCGACACACUUCGAGUCUUUUGAAAUCCAAAGAAUACCGCGGUCACAAAACAGAAGGGCUGACGCCCUCUCCCGGCUUGCUUCUACCUCUUUCUCCGACCUGAACAAGACGGUUCUCGUAAAAGUUCUAACCGAGUUAGGAUAUAUAGCUGAGGUCGUGUACCCCGUCUACCCUGGGGAUACCUGGAUGGGGCCCCUGACUCGAUUUCUCAGCCAAGGUGAGCUCCCGGAAGACCGAGAUGAAUCACAGAAGUUUCAACGAAAAGCAGCUCGGUACACCCUCCGACAAGGCCUUUUGUAAAAGAGGUCUUAUCUCGACCCCUGGUUGCGAUGUAUCACGCCGGAGGAAGGUGAGAGAAUCCUCCAAGACAUACAUGAAAGACUUUGUGGUGCUCACGUCGGCUACAGGAUGCUUGUUAAGAAAGCUUUAUUGCUUGGGUACUUCUGGCCGACCAUGAGGGUAGAUGCCCAGGUCAUGGUUCUUAGUUGCCCCUCCUGUCAGCACCACGCCCCUGAACACCACCAGCUGACCAACCUUAUGAUACCCAUCACCUCGCCGUGGCCAUUCGAGCAAUGGAAAACUGAUAUAAUCGGCACAUUCCCCAGGGCUCCAGGCAACUAUGCCUACGUGGUGGUAGCAGUGGACUAUUUCACCAAAUGGGUUGAGACCGAGCCCCUGAGAAGCAUCACCGGGGCUGCUGUUCAAAAAUUCUUUUGGAAGAACGUGGUUUGUCGCUUCGGCCUGCCCCGAGUGGUCAUUUCGAAUAAUAGCAGGCAGUUCGCGGAUAAUCCUUUCAAGGCGUGGUGUGAAACUUUGGGGAUUCAACAACAUUUCACUUCGGUUGGACACCCUCAGGCAAAUGGACAAGCCGAAAACUUCAAUCGAACUCUCCUCCAUGGACUCAAGACCAGGCUACACCGGGCUGGAUAGUCAUGGAUGGAAGAGCUCCCCAGCGUGCUGUGGUCCUACCGAACCACGCCGAGGUCAGCAACCCAAGAAACCCCGUUUUCCCUAACUUAUGGGUUCGAGGCUGUCGUCCCAGCCGAAUUCAUUACCUCGAGUCCACGAAUGGUCGCAUAUGCUGCCGAAGUCAAUGAAGAAGAACGGCGAGUUGACCUCGACCUCGCCGAGGAGAAGCGUGAUAUGGCCAUGGCCAAAGUCGCUAUUUACAAAAAUAUCCUAACUGGUUACUACAAUGCUCGGGUCAAGCACUUGCGGUUCAAUCCGGGAGACCUUGUUCUCCGGAAGAACUCAGUUAGCCGAACUGAACCUCAGGAAAAGUUAAAUCCCAAGUGGGAGGGACCGUACUGUGUUGUUGAAUCCAGUCAAAAUGGAUAUUGUAAAUUGGCUUACCGAAAUGACUCUCGGGUGCCCUGAACCUGGCAUGCUGAAAAUCUUAAAUUAUAUUACCCUUGAAGGGUACGUAUUCUUACAUUCCACUUCUUCAAGUUAUUUCUCACUUCUUUCCAUAUUAUUGUAAGUGAAAAAUAAGGGGACAAAGCAGUAUUCAAAAAAAGAUGAAUUCAAUUCGAUCAAAAAGAAGGCAAAAAUAUGCAAGAACAAAAAGUCAAUUUUAUUGAAGUGCGAAAAGUAAAAGGCCGAGGUUAUAUAUGACCUCGGCCCCCAGUUACAAGAGUGAAAGGCCAAGAUUAUCUGUGACCUCAGAUAACCUCGGCCCUCUAUUACAAAAACAAGUGCUUCUAGGCACUCCCUACUUCAGUUUCCUGACCUCCCAUGGUCUCACCCUCCGUCUUGGCAUCCUGAUGCCCUUCAACUCCUCCACCGGCCUGGUCUCCUUCAAGCUCAUCACCAUCACCAUUUGGCUCAAAUUCCUGGAGCCAUUUGUUGAAUUCGGCUCGCACCUCAGCUAGGUCCUUUCCAGACUGGAUACCCUCGGCAAUGCGGUCGCACAGUUCCUUGGCAUUUUCGUUGUAGUGAGAAGCGUUCUGAAGGGACUCCAGUUGCUCAGGAGAGAGAAAGGGCGUUGCCUCGUUAACAGCGGAUGUGAAGCCGAACAUGAAACUCGGUCGAGUGAGCUCGCCGAGUUCAUGAGUGAAGGCUUCCGACUUCCGGAAUGCCUCCACGGCAGUGACCCCGACCUUGUCUAUGGCCUCCUUGGCCGAUUGUUCUUCUUGAGCCCGUCUCCCUCUUUCCUCGUCAAGUGCAGUUACGAGGGAGUUGUUUGCGACUUCGGCCUUCUUCUUCGCAAGCUCGGCCUUGUCUCGCUCCAACUCGGCUGCUCUCAGCUGCUUUUCCAGAUCGGCAAUCCUCUUGUGGAGCUCGUCAGGUGAUUCAUACGUCUGUACGAAGUGCCCGAAGCGUUGGUGCAUCUCAGCCAAGAACGCCGUGGUGGAAGCCCAGGAAACUGAGGCGCUUUGCAUCAGCUCGACGGGAGAGAGCUUCCUGGUGUAGGUAUUGUCCCGUGGCAGGACCGAAUGCACUAGGAGCUCGUGUGCGACUCGGGCAUCUUUGUAUCGGUCGUUCACGUUUAUAUCCCACUCCGGACACCACUGUGACCCGGAGUGCCUCUUGUCCUCCUCGGCCGCCACUGAAGGCACGUGGUGGAGGUUGAACAAUGAGGACCCCGUGACGGGGUUUUUCGGAGUAAUGGCUGCCGCUCGACCCCGAGGUGGAGAGGCUAUCGUCACUCCACGGGAGGGGAUUCCCACAGGAAUGCCAGAGGAUUUGGAUUUCCCCUUCCCCGGCAUGCCCGAGGUAUGUGAACCUUCGCCUAUGAUCACCACGGCGGGCUCGCGGUCGCCCGUCGCCGUGGUGGUCUUUUUAGCCGGCCUGGUAGAGGGAUCAGCAGCAUCCUUGCACUUCUUGGGUGCCCUCUUCACCACUUCGGCCCCUCCCGAAGUGAUCAGGUCAGAAACUUUCACCACUGCAGGGAAUGAAAGAGAGUCGAUUAGAAUUUAAGAAAAAUAAAUAAGUAGAGAAAAUGGAAAGGUACAAGGUUUCUGGAGCCUAGAAGAGAAAAGACGGGGUGAUCCGAGCUGAUCAAGGCUCAGCUGAUCCCGCCGUCCACAAGCACUGCUUCUGGAAAGUCCCAACAGUUAAUUCUGAGGCUCGACCCCAUUAGCUUCUGGAGGUUGCGCUCCUCUAACUUGCCCGGGGACAUUUCUUUGACCGAAGUGGGAGGUCUCCACCAAAACCCCUGGGGGAAGUCCUCAGCCGGAACGAAGAUGAAGUUCCUUUUCCACUCCUUUAUCGAGCUCGGGACGUCCACUACUAAUUUCGGGACUUUAUUCCCGAAGUAGAACCAACCCUUCUCACUCCCGCUGUUCUUAAGUGAAUAACAGCGGCGGAAUAGGUUAACCGUAGGCUCUAUCUCCUGAUGACGGCAGAGCAGUUGGAAGCCGACGAGAACGCGAAUGGCAUUGGGGGUGAGCUGAGUGAUUCUCACCCCCCAGUACCUCAAACAGCCGCGAAGGAAUUUCGUCGUUGGCAUCCUGAGCCCGGCCUCCAGUUGCUCCACAUAGAUAGCCACCCUAUCUUUCGGCGACAGUGCGGCUGACUGGUGCGGUUGGGGUAUGUAGAUACUAUAAUCCCUUCCCCAGGGAUACUUGCGGACCACCUCGACUACUGAGACUUGUCCCAUACCACUACUGAAGAACGGCAUCUGGCCGUAGUUAAGAGUUGUCACGUUCGGAGGAGUGGAAGGCUCUUGUACGCCCUCGUCCCUAGGGACCUCGUUCCCGAGGUCAUCAUUGUAUAGAAUUUCGGGAUCGACCUCGAUCUCCUCGUACUGCUCCUUAGCCGCCCCAACUCGGUGAGACGCCUCAGCUCGGUGGGACGCCUCCGCACCUCCUUCCCCAGCUCGGUGAGACGCCUCAGCACCUCCGCCAUCGGACGCGGUCCUUUCUUCGGAGAGGUCAGGCCUCUCUGCUUCGGUAAAGUCAGGCCUCACCGUCUCCUUGUGUGUACGAGCUGUUCUAGCCAUUAUAACAGAAAAGAAAGAAGUGAACUUAUUUAGAAGAUGUGAUUCGAAGGAAGUGCCGAAGUGAAAAGACAAAGAAGCGGAGCUUUGGGGUGAUUCACGAUUUUUGGUAAAGAUUAAAACGGUGAAAAGGGGCCCCUAUUUAUAGGCACCCAGGGAGAAAGUGAAGAGACGCGUUCUCUCUCUCCUCAUUAAUGAAAAAACUGUUCAUCUGCCGCCAAUCUCGCGCCUGAUCAUGAACCUGCCAUUCAGACUGAUAUCCGUCCUGUCAGUUCCUCAGCAGUCCCAUCCACGCGGUCAUGAUUAUUGGACACCGUGUCUUACACGCUUAUCAGCUUUGAAAAGUAACGACCUCGGGAGUCCACGAUCUCGUCUUCCUCGAAGCUUGGGGGGCUUAGUGAGGAUGGUUAUUCCGGUUCGGGUAUCCCAAGGUCUCGCCCAGUAAUAUCUCUUGAAGCGCCACCUCGGCGGUUAUCAGUUGGGGUGACAUCCACCUCAUUACCGUCUCGGCUAACAUCCUUAGCCGAGGUGACACCAGGGCAUCCGACAAUUGUGGAGAGGUGAGAUGUGACCUCUGACACCCCUGACACCUCCGACGCCUGACGAAAAGCUGCUCUGACACGCCGUCUGAACCUGACGGAUGUUCCAUCACGUCCUUUCAUAGAGAUCAGUCAAGUCCAUCAGAUGCAAUGACCAUAUCAGAUCUUUAGGGACCCGUGCUGGCAGUCCCUCUCUCCUAUCCGUCUUCUAUAAAUACUCAACACCUUUACUGAGAAGGGGGAUGACCAAUUUUCUGGUAACACACUACUCCCUUCCAUUACGCUAUCUCUUCAUAACCGAACUAACUUGAGUUUCGGAGUUAUAACGGGGGAUCCAGCCCCUCUUUCAACCUAAGCAGGUGACCUCGUCCAAGAGAGCUGCCCAGGAUAAAAAUACUUCUCCAAUGCGGGUGACUCACUCCAGCGGGACGAAAAUCACCUCUUCAAUUCCAUUGUUCUUUAAUUUGUCGAGUGUAGUCAUUCGAAUUCUUAGUGAUCGAUAAUGACUGAAUUGUUGGCAGUUGGCACUGAUUGUGUGCGCUUGAUUUUGAGAAUCAUUCUCGAUGCAAACGCUUGGAUGCUUAUGCUUUAUGAAACUUUAGGUUUUACCUUUAAGGGGAAAAAAAAAAAAGAAACAAAGGAAUUAAUAUUACCAGCCAGUCCCAUGUUCCAGUUUCAGAAAACUGCAUGGGGAUUACAACAUCUCCCACGGACAGGGUACUGUCGGCAUUGCCCGAAGUGCCAAAGUUUAUAACUCCUCUAAUUCGGAAGACGUCCAACAGUUAUUGGGUCGUUGCUGAUUAAUCCAAUCCAAGCAAAACGCCUUCAUUAAUCACCAAUUCUCACUCACAAAUAUUGCAACCUUUUUUACCUGUACAAAAGCUAACGAAGGGUGGCAAAACUAGAAACUCAAUUACAAUUACCAGUCCAACUCCACAUCUGACAUAAAUGGCACUAUUAGACCCUAUGGUCCCGAUCGAUGUGAUAACGCCUGCCUGCAAUGAAAUAAAUUAUUAGGUGAUAAAAAGUCAGCAACAAAUUUCGAUCAUUAUUAUGAGGAAGAAAAAAUAGCAGUUGUAAUAGUUGCGAAGCAGAUUUAAUGCAUGGGAAAUAUAUAUAUAUAUAUAUAUAUAUAUAUUUGCCUGAGAAAUCCACAUAGGGGUGUUUUGAAUCCACAAGUUACAAGUCAUAAUGUGGAUAACAUUUCAUGUUCUUUGCAACCAGCCAUACUGUAAGCUCAGACAUGCUUCCUUAAACAUGGAUCGAAUUGUGUUGUUAAAAGUUUAAGCAUUAGAAAAAAAUAGUGAUAAACAUCAGAUGCAGAAAGAAUGAAAAAUAGUGAUAUCCCCAUCAGAUGCAGUUUCUGUAUUGGUAACUAUAAUAUAUUUAGAUGAUGCAACUUUAUUGCUAAACAACAAUGUGCUGAACAAAAUUGUUUCCUAAGAUGCUCUAUGCAAUGAAAUAGCCUUAAAACGCCAGCCAUGAAUUCCUCAAUGGAUUUUCUGUCUCACAUUCUAUGCCACUCUCAGUCCCACUUUUUAUUAUAUUGCUAUUUCUCCUUCAUAAAUAUCAUGUUUUAAUUCUUUUUUGUUUCUUUAAGAUCCAAUAACUAUUAAUUGAGUAAUACACAAAAUUUAAUAAACUCAAAAAAUCAAAAUGCAUAAAAACGAGAUUUUUAUGAAUUUUCUGCUGUAGUUUUUAAUUUUCUAUUAUAUAUUACUUUUUUGAAACUGUUGUAUUUAUUUUUUACUCAAUCAAUAGUUACUGAAUCUUAAAAAAACAAAAAAGAAUUAAAACAUGAUAUUUAUGAAGGAGAAAUAGCAAUAUAAUAAAAAAGUAAAACUGAAAGUGGCACAAGAUAUAGAAUAGAAGAUCCGUUGCGAAUGAAUUCAACUCAACAAUCACAAUAAACAAAUCGUACAAAUGUUAAAAUGCCUGAAAUCAAUUUCUUGCGGCCCGCAUAAGAGCCAAUCUCACAAAGAGCCCUAAAGGUACUUUCGCCCCAACAAAAGCAUGCGAAAGAAAGAAGCUAUCCUUGGAGCUAAAGUGACAAGGCCAUCCCUUUCUGACCGACGAAGAUAAGAUGGGAAGGGCCGAUCGAGCUAGGAAUGCUCGUACGGGUCCAAGUGGUGGUUUGAUGUAACAUUGUACACUUCUAAAUGUACAUGGCUCGCAUAACAUGAAACAAAGCUUGGGAUGGAACCUUAUCUAAAUGUAGCAGCUUCCUAGUGCAGUUACCACAUCGAAUGGCUUAACUUGGGUGUUGUGAUUUUCCUCAUUUCCUAUCCCUUUUUAAUACUCUGACUAUUUUGUCCUUGGAGCUCUUUGUGCAUAUCAUGCAUGUGAUUUUCCGGUAGCAUUUAUGGCCUAAAUUUAAUAGGAUGGAUGACCAAGAAGCCGCGUGCGUUGUUUUUAAUAGUUGGGUCACACUUUUUACUGAGGAUAAAAAAAAAAAAAAGUUAAGUGACAUUUUAAGUUUUAGAAGAAAAAAAAAAAAGUUACUUAGGUGACAAAAAGCGAUAAAAAGGUAAUAAUUUGAUCGCAUUUUGACACCUCUAAUUUGGCCUGAAGUGAAAAUAACAAUGUGGAUAAAAGGUAAUAAUAAUUUGAUCGCACAAAUGUGGCCCGGGCCCGCAUAAGAGCGUGUGAAAUAAAGAAGCUGUCCAUGGAGCCACGUGACGGGGCUGUCCCUUUUCGAACGACAAGGAAAACAUAGAACGUCUCGAGAUAGGAAAGGCAUGGGUCCGUUUUUUUUUUUUUGAAAAACGUGCAAAAGCCAAAAAGACAAAUCGUUAUCCUGAGAAGAUUGCACAAGGAGACGAGGAAAUCCGGGGUUCGACCAAUUGUGGAUAAACUGAGAAUUGAAUGAAAAGUUAUUUAUUUAUUUUUCUUCAGAAUCUGUGUUAAUUGUAAUGGUAACUUUUCAAACUAACCCCUCUUAUUAAUGCUUUUAAGUUAUUUGAAAGUUUACUUCUUUUUUUUUUUGUUUUUUUUUACUGAAGAUAUAAGUUGUACUACAAGUUAUGCAAGUGCAAUCAAGAGAGAUGUUUUAGGAUGAGAAAUAAAAAGGAAUUCAAUUUACAAAUUUUAGUUGCACAAAAAAUUAACUAAAUUACAUGAAAUUAAACCAACCAAAUGCAUGCACUUAUUUUUAAUUCCACUAGUUUUAACUUAAAUUAGAAAAUCCCUUUCAUAAUUGCCCUACUUUUUCAGUUUUUCCAUGAGAAAAAAACUCCAACUUUGGUUUCCAUAUGGCAUCAAAAAACGGAUGAUUUAAGAAAUUGUCCAGAUGUACAGCAACAAUUGUAGGCCUACGUAUGUAGGAAGGGUGAAAAAAACAAGAGUGAGAAACCCUAGUAAAGUUGAACCAUCAGAAUUGAACUGCUAAAGAAGGUGAACAGCAGACAGUGAAAACCUUGAUCGUAUACUCUUGGUUUUGGCUGACAAUUUUCCACACCAAUAUGCAUUUGAUUAUAAGAAUGCCAAAGAUUUCAAUCUUAUCAAGUGAUUGACAAAGACAGCUGUGUUAUCCUAUACCGCAUGCCCGUGACUGCUAUCAAAACUCUGUAUCAAAUAUUGAUCUAUAAAUAAAAAAAAAUUUUUUAUCGAAACGGCAGUUUUAUAUAUGAUCGUAAAAACUUUACAGUAACUGGACGAGGGUCGAAGCAACAGGGACAACAGUCCCACAAUAUUCAAAAUAUUGAUCUAUAAACAUGCCACAGUAUUAUAUCGUUAUUUCAUUUAAGAUUUGAUUUCUUUGUAAUAUAGGUCACAAAUACUUGUGUAACAUAGUUCAAUCAUUUGUCUCCCGUGAUGGACAAGGGGGUAAAGGAGUAGGUGGGUUGUGAGCAGUUCAUUGUUAAAAUGCUUAAAACUACCUGUCUACAUCAAGCUAACAAUGGCAGCAGCUGUGGAAUAAAAUUUUCUUGCAAUUUUUUUUAUAGGAUUUUAGAGAAUGAGUCGCUUUUGUUUUGGAGGUGCAAGUGUUAUUCAGAGUCAGAGGAGAAGUGGUCUUAGGCAUUUCACAGUUGGAGAGACUAAUGUCAAAAGUAAUUGAUUCAGGUCAAAUAUAUGUGGUAAUUGAAACAUUUAAAAGCCCUUUUUAAGCUUUAGCAAGUAGGAAGCACGUAAAAAAUUCAAGGUCGCACCGAACUCCUCUCACGUGUAGAGGCUUUCUCUCUCUCUUGGGAAGAGAGCUUCUUUCUCCUUGGUGGGAACUUCAGCGUUUGAAACUUCAAAGCAACCAAUGAACACAGUUCAAAAGUUUGAAACUUUGCUAUCUUCCAGUUACCAAAAUUGUCUGCAUGUUGGGAUCGUAAAGCCAAGCAUUCACUAAGGAUCCAGAAUCAGAUAUCAUCAAGAAGGCAUAGUGAAGGAAACAAGAACAGGGGAGCGGGUUGUAGAAAAAAAAAAAAAAAAAAAAAAAAAAAAAAAAAGGUAAGGGUACUUCAGUUAGUCUAUUUCCUGAGCAACUGGUCGGAAAAUUCCAACAACUCUGGUUAAGGAAGGACGUCUAGUGAAGGUAUUUUAACUGUUCUUGCUCUUGUGCUCUUUUCCUUUUUCCUAGUACAUUUGGCUCAGCUAUUCAGCUCAGUGUGUUUGUCUGGAGAAAACGUUAUCUUCUUCUUAUUUUUACCUCUAUAGGGUUAGGUGUUUAGUGUGGCUGGUGGUAAGUGCUAGGAGUGCCGUCUGGUUUCAGCUUGGGUCAGAAUGGAGGAGGAAUUGGUGGAAGUGUUACAGAAAUUCGCCCUCUCAGAAAGGGAAGUAGGGGGUACCCUUCUGGAUUUGGGGGACCUAGAUGAGGGCAUUACAGAGUGCCAGGGUAGUAUCAUAGGGAAGAUACGGGGGGAGAAGAUUGCUAAUUUCACAGGAGUUAAAAAUUUUGCUACUGUGGCUUGGAGCUACCCUAAAGGUCUUAGAGUAGCUGAGUUAGGUCCUAAUGUUUUCCAAUUUACUAUCCCGGAUGCUAAGGAUAGGGAACGAAUUCUUGGAGGAGGGCCAUGGAUCAUAGACAACCAGAUUUUAGUGCUUAGAAAUUGGGAGGUGGGGAUAGAGGAGGAUGAAGACGCGUUUAGUGUAGCUCCUGUUUGGGUGCAGGUAUGGAACCUACCCAUACAUUGUCUGUCUAAGACAGUGGGAAAGAAAGUGGGAUCUAUCUUUAGUGAGGUUAGGGAGGUGUUAAUCCCUCAAUCAGGGGGCAAGGAGGGGAAACAUAUGAAACUUCUGGUUCUGAUAGAUAUUAAACAGCCUUUGUUGAGAGGUACAACAAUCCAGAUGAACGGGGUGAGUAAGUGGCUGUCUUUUAAAUAUGAAAAAUGUCCUGACUUCUGCUAUAGUUGUGGUGUCAUUGGGCACAGUGAAAAGAAUUGUAAGUGCCCUGUGAUGGUGAAAAAGGGACAAUACCAGAACCAGUAUGGACCUUGGAUGAGGGUGUUUGGGGGAAGAGGAUCUCCUCAGAAGGAAGGUACCCAAAAGAUGUGGACGCCACACAAGCAGGUAUGGAAGGUUAGAAAUGGGGAAAUGAUCAGAAUAGAGGAUUUAGAGAAACAGGAGAAAGGGGUAGGUCUGUAUGAGAAUAUGGAUUUGAGCAAGACAAAGGAAGUUAGGGGGGAAGAGAGCCAGACUCAUGAGUUAGAGAAGGGGGGACUCACUAUUGCAGAUAGGGAGAAGGCCGGUAGGAUAUUACCAAAUUGGAGCUCUGAGAAGGACAGGGAGAAGGUGAUAGGGAUGCAGGAGGGUAUUAAGAGUAGUACAGGAAUGGAUGUAGUACGAAUAUUGGAGGGUAGGAAUGAUGAGGUUACUAAUAUGGGAAAUACUGAGAAGGGAGAGGUUGGAAGGAUAGGAGAAGGUAAAGGAGGGGAACAAGAAAUACCCAGUUCAGGGGAGGAGCUAGUGAAUAUGGAAACAGAUGAAACCAUAAAUAAAGAAAACCAAGGAGGGUGUAGGAUAGAGGGGAAGAGGUUCAGGAGAGUGCACACUGGACCUAGAGAGAUUAGAACUCCUCUAAAGGAGCUCAAUGGGACAAAAAGGAAGUUUUAUCUGUGUGAUGAAGAAAUGACAGAUGUGGAGAACCAGGAUCACAUAGAUAAAAAGUAUAGGGGAGAACAGAUUGGAGGGAUAAGCAAGGAUUUGUCUGAAGGGGAUGGGAUCAGCCCUCACUGGUCCCCAAAGGACCAAUGAGAGCUAUGGUGUGGAAUUGCCAAGGAGCAGGGAGCCCCUUGACAAUUCCCCACCUGAAGGAGGUUAAAAACCUCCUCUCCCUGAACAUGAUAUUCCUGAGUGAGACUAAGAAUAAAGCUAAGUAUAUGGAGAAGGUGAAAAGGAUCCUGAAUUAUGAUAACUGUUAUGUGGUUGAAGCCAUGAAUAAGGCAGGGGGCAUGAGCCUGAUGUGGAAUGAGGAGACUAAAGUUAAGGAAAUUAAACAUUCUGCCUUUACAAUUGAGGUGUUGAUAGAGGAUGCAGAAGUGAAGAAGGAUUGGUGGCUGAUAGGGAUCUAUGCUAGUUGUGAUAACCAGCAGAGACGAGGGCAGUGGGAAGUCAUCAGUAGGAGGAAAGUUUUGUGGGGGGAAGACUGGCUUAUUAUGGGGGACUUUAAUGACUUAUGUUCUAAUGAGGAGAAGUGGGGAGGUAGAAUUAGGGAGGAGUGGAGUUUCUAUGACUUCAGAAAUUUUAUUCAGGAGAACCAGCUGGUUGAUUUGGGGUUUGAAGGUAACCCAUGGACUUGGAGUAAUCAGUGGCAAAAUGGAGAAAUUAGACAAAGGCUGGAUAGGGGUCUAAGUAGUGGAAGUUGGAGCAAUCUGUUUGAGCACCCCAAGUGUACUCAUUUAGAAAGCUUAGCCUCUGACCAUAGCAUGCUGAUUCUGGACACUAUUCCAGGGGUAAGGAGGAAAAAAAAGAGAUUCUGGUUUGACAAAAGAUGGGUCCAGAGAGAAGGUAUAGGAGAGGUGAUUAAGAAGGCCUGGGAUGAGGAUGUUAGAGGAUCCAGAAUGUUCAGAGUUAUGAAUAAGAUUAAGAGGUGUAGGGUUGCUCUGCUGAAGUGGAGAAAUGAUUUUAUUGAUAACACUAGGAAGAGGAUCUCUACUCUGAAGCAGCAACUGAUUAAGGAAAAAAGUUCAGAGGCUGAAGGUAGGAAAGGGAGAAUAGCUGUUUUGAAGAAUCAGUUAGUGGGAGCUUAUAGGGAAGAGGAACUGUAUUGGAGUCAGAAAGCAAGGCUCAACUGGCUUCAGGAAGGGGAUAAGAAUACUAAAUACUUCCAUGCAGUGGUGAAGGGGAGGAGAAAAAGGAAUAAUAUAGGUAAUUUGCAAAAAGAGGAUGGGUCCUGGACUACGGAUGACAAGGAGAUAGCAGAAGAGAUUGCUAGUUAUUAUAAGCAGCUUUUUAAGUCUUGUAGGACUGAUGAUUUUGAGGAGAUUCUGGAUGGCAUUCCUUGCACUAUUACUAGGCAGAUUAAUGAAAAUAUUACUAGACCUGUAGAGGAAAAUGAGAUAAAAGUAGCUGUUUUCUCCAUGAAUCCCAACAAGGCUCCAGGGCCUGAUGGGAUGACACCUCUCUUUUUUCAAAAAUUCUGGUUAACCAUCAAGGAGGAGGUUGUGAAUGCAAUCAGAUCUUUCUUUCACUCGGGCCACAUUCUCAAAUCUUUGAACCACACCACUAUAUCUCUUAUUCCUAAGGUAGAGUUGCCCACUGAUCUGAAGCAUUAUAGGCCUAUUAGCCUGUGUAAUGUUUUAUACAAAGUAAUCUCUAAGAUCCUAGCCAAUAGGCUGAAACCUGUCCUGGAUGUCUGUAUCAGCAAAAACCAGUCAGCCUUCAUACCAAACAGACAAAUCUUAGAUAAUAUUAUCAUUUCCCAUGAAUGUCUUCACUUCCUUAAAAACAAGAGACAAGGCAAGGAUGGUUAUACUGCUAUUAAAUUGGACAUGUCUAAAGCCUAUGACAGAGUUGAGUGGAGUUAUCUGAAAGCUGUUAUGGAAAGGAUGGGGUUCAAUUAUAUCUGGGUAGCAUGGAUUUUGGAUUGUAUUAGCUCAGUAUCAUACUCCUUCAAUGUUAAUGGAGAGACUAAGGAGUAUGUAAUCCCUUCAAGGGGCAUCAGGCAAGGUGACCCACUGUCACCUUACUUGUUUCUUUUAUGCUCUGAAGGUCUCUCAAACCUGUUAAGGAAAGCAGCACGACAAGGCAAGCUAAGUGGUUUAAGAAUCAGCAAACAAGGACCUGCUAUUACUCAUCUAUUUUUUGCUGAUGACACCCUAAUAUUCUGUAAAGCUGCGGGGGAGGAAGCAAGGACUUUGAAAGCUAUUCUGAAUCAGUAUGAGAAGGGAUCUGGUCAAGUCAUUAAUUUGGAAAAAUCUUCUAUCUGUUUUAGCAAAAACACUAAGGCUGAAGAUAAGAAGGAAACCUGUGAGUCUUUAGAAGGGGUUAGGAUAGUGAGCCAGGGUAAAUAUCUGGGCCUUCCUAUGGUGAUCACAAGGACAAAAGGUCAGAUUUUUGCCUACAUUAAAGACAGCAUAAAGACUAGGCUCAACAACUGGAAGAACAAGCUUCUAAGUGCAGCAGGGAAAGAGGUGAUGUUAAAAGCUGUGACAAUGGCCAUGCCAAUCUAUGCAAUGUCUUGCUUCAAGUUACCAGUUACACUUUGCAAGGAAAUCUCAGGACUAAUGGCUAAAUACUGGUGGGGUGAAGUAGGAGGGAGAAACAAAAUGCAUUGGUGUUCAUGGGACAGGAUGAUGAAGGCAAAAAUGGAUGGAGGUUUGGGGUUCAGGAAUUUAAGAUGUUUCAACAAGGCGUUACUGGGAAAGCAGAUUUGGAGGAUGCUCAGAUUUCCAAACCUGCUGGUAAGCAAAAUCUUAAAAGCUAAGUACUUCCCUAAGGACUCCAUUUUGAACUGUAAAAUCCCCAAAAAUUCGUCCUGGUUCUGGCAGAGUAUAAUGUCAGCUAGGGAGGUAGUUAAGGGAGGGGUACUGAAGAGGGUAGGAUCAGGGAAGAGUAUUAGAAUUUGGAAAGAUCAAUGGAUCCCAAACAAUCUGAAUGGAAGACCAACUACAAUGAGGGCAGAUAGGGGGGAGGAGCAGAGAGUGGAGGAACUAAUUACAAACUUCAGAUGGAAUAGGAAUGAAGUCUACAGGAGGUUCAAUAGGGAGGAUGCGGAUAACAUACUGAAAAUACCAAUCAGUCUGUCAAAUUCUGGGGACAAGCACUUCUGGAUACAUAGCAGACAGGGAGAAUACUCAGUAAAAUCCUGCUACCAGACUUUACUCAAGGAAGAGAAAAGGAAAGAAAGUGAUGCGAGAGGAGAGUCUGGGUCGAGCUAUGAUGACUCCAACACACAAAUCUGGAAAACUCUUUGGGAGCUGAACAUUAAACAUAAGAUCAAGCUAUUCAUAUGGAGAUGCAUUACGAAUACGCUGACAGCUAGGGAAUCGAUCUUCAGGAGAACAAAGCAAGGAUCGCCAUUUUGCUCAAGAUGUGGGGAUGGAAUAGAAACAGUAGAACACAUCUUGUUCCACUGUCAUCAGGCCCAGAAGGUUUGGAAGCUGGCACCAGUACAAUGGGAUGGUUUACAGAAUCAAACAGGAUGCUUCAAGCAAUGGUGGUCAGCAUUAGUCCAAUCCAGAAAUAGAAAUGGAGGAAGGCAGCAUAUUGGAUUGACAGCUAAUAUACUGUGGCAGCUAUGGAAGGACAGAAAUGAAAUGGAGUUUGAAGGGAAAGAGAGAGAUGGAUGGAAAGCUGUACAUAAAGCUAGCACGGAAUGGAUGGAGUAUGAGGAAGCUGGAAAAAGGAUGAAUGAGGAAAGCACACUAGAAACAGAUGAAGCAAGAGAAAGAGCUAGGGAGGAAGGAAGGGAGGAGGAAGACAUGAUGGAACUUCAAGUAGCUACUAAGAGAUCAGCUGAGGGUAAGAGGUUGGGAAUUGGGGUUGUAGCUAGGCAGAAUGGAGGGAGAAUCAGAGCUGAAUGGAAGUUAAUUGAAAGAAGUUCGGACAGGGAUAUUCAGGAUGAAGCCGAAGCAGUAAGAUUGACUAUGUUGAAAGCAAGACAGUUGAGCUGGCAGAAAAUCAAAAUCAUCAAUGCUAAUAAACAGCUUAUUGCCAUGCUUAAAACUGGGAUAGGGGACAACCCAAAUACUGCUACAUUGGUUGAGGAUAUACAAGCGUUAGCUAAUCUGUUUCAAGUGUGCACUUUUGAAGAAAGAACUAGUAGUAAUAUGACUCUAUGUAAUCACAUUAGCCAUUAUGCUUUAAGCAUACUUAGGGAUGAGGAGAGGUUUUUUGGCUCUCCUUAAGUGUCUUGGUACACUUAGUAUAGUUGAUUGGGCCUUUGCUCAGAUAUUGUAAAGUUAGUUUCUUAUAAAAUGACAUCUAUCGUUUCCGGAAAAAAAAAAAAAAGUAGGAAGCACGUAUAAAUCUGCCAUCAUUUUUUGGUUAAAUGGUACGUCAAUAGUUGAACUUUGCCUUUUCACUCAUUUCGAGCAAUCAAUCAUAAGAGGAAAUAGACCAACUCACUCGCGUAUCCAAGUAGCAUUCGGCAGCCAGGAGGAAUUGCAUUGCAUGCGCUUCUUAUUCAAACACACAAUAAUUUGCUGGUACAUUUUAUUUUACAUAAAACGUCGUUGCUCCAAGAGACUUCUAGUCUUGAAGCUCAUUUAUUCUUUCUAGGCAAAUUAUUAGAAGCACAUUCGUUGAUUGAUUCAUUCAGCGCUCCUCCUGAUUAAGCUGAACAUUUACGGUUCUUGCCACAGAUACGGCCCAAACGAGGUGAUGGUAUAUUAUUAACAAGUGCAACAACGGUUUUCUCGACAUUUGCCGCAACAAUAGCAUCAUAACUCUCACUCGAAUCCUCUCCUCCUUCUGCUCCAGCUGAAUUAGCCAGUCCGCGGAUGGCAAUCACUUGCUGGCCACUCGACAAGGAUGUCUGCACACAACCAAAGACAAGUCAAUUUGCUGCUUCCUACUGUUUUCUUGGGGUCAGUUUGAGAGGAUAAAUUUGAGAUCAGAUAUUCAAUUGCAGGGAAGACUCUUCAAAUUGGUUCUAGUUUGAUGAAGAAACGCUUUUACAAAAGAAUAAAGUAGCAGAAAGCAGUGAGGAUGAAAGUACUCGAUCUGGUAACAAGACAAUAAAAAUUACCAUGAUUACUGCUGCGCUCUCCAUAUCAAUGGAUGCAACGUGAAAAGUGCUGUGGAGGAAAUCUCUGUAAGCUGCAUUCUCAACAAAAAAGUUGGCAGUUGUGCCGUUGACUCCAAGAACUAGCUUAGGCUGUUUCGGGAGGCAAACGCCGUUUAGGCACUGGUCUAGCUCAAUUCCCUGUUUGAACAAAACUACCACCGUCAGAACCAAAAAGAAUUUACUAAAUUGAAAAUGGGAAAGGGGUUAUUUUAUUUUCGCUUGAAAUAGAAUUUGGCAACUUAAAAUAAAGGUAAAGAGAAUGUUAAUUCUAGAUCUGAAUCUGUGCCUUGUUACCUCUAGAGUGGAAGCGAUUUGCAGCAAAUCCUCGGAUGCCUCGAACCAAAAUUUUCUUACAGGAACAUCAGGCUCUCCUGUCUGGGAAAAGAAGUACUCUUUCAUAUAAGCCACGCGACCCAACAGAUUAUAUCCGCCAAUGGGAAUGUGAUAGCGUCUGAACUCUAGGUCAGCAACCCCAUUAUCUGGCUGUGGUGCUGCCUCGGAUUUCUGCAAUAUGCAUGCAUGCAUGCCCAGAUGAAGAUACAUGCAAAAAUGUAAUUCCUCGAAUAUUAAAAAAAAAAAAACACGUAGAAUAAUUUUGAAGCAGGGAAAGGACUAAAAUUUUGUCCGCUUCACAAAAACAUAAAUAAAUAAAGAAACUGAGGAAUUCAAUUGCACCAUCAGGUAUUUAGGCUCUCCAUUAAUUGGAGCUGCUGUCUACUGCAUACGGAGGGAGGAGAAAAGCAUCAUCCAAAUCCAAGAGGCAACUGGUUCAUAAGCCUUGCUUGCGAAUUUCAGUAAUUAGCACAUUUUUUCCUUUUUUUUUCUUUCUUUCUUUCUUUUUUUGGUAAGCGACAGAUCAUAAUUCCAAAAUCUCCUACUUCAAUGUUUUAUUUCCGCGGUUCUUUUGUCAAGUUGAGUGUAGUGACUCGAAUUCUUAGUGAUACUGACUGAAUUGUUGGCAGUUGGCACUGAUUGUGUGCGCUUUAUGAAACUUUAGGUUUUACCUUUAAGGUAAAAAAAAAAAAAAACAAAGGAAUUAAUAUUACCAGCCAGUCCCAUAUUCCAGUUUGAGAAAACUGCAUUGGGAUGACAACAUCUCCCACGGACAGGGAACUGUCGGCGCCGCCCGCAGUGCCAAAGUGUAUAACUGCUCUAAUUGGGAAGAAGUCCAACAGUAGUUGGGUCGUUGCUGCAGCAUUCACCUGAUUAAUCCAAUCCAAGCAAAAUUAUUGAAACCUUUUUUCACUCGUACAAAAGCUCCCAAACUAACGAAGGGCGGCAAAACUAGAAACUGGGACCUAUUGCAACACAAUCACGCUUACCAGUCCAGUUCCACAUCCGACAAUAAUGACACUAUUAGACCCUAUGGUCCCGAUGUGAAAACGCCUGCCUGCAAUGAAAUAAAUGAUUAGGUGAUAAAAAGUCAGCAACAAAUUUCGAUCAUUAUCAAGAGGAAGAAAAAACAGUAGUAGUAAUAAUUAAUGGUUGCGAAGCAGAUUUAAUGCAUGGGAAUUAUAUAUAUAUAGAUAUUUGCCUGAGAAAUCCACGUAGGGGUGUUCUGGAUCCGGCUUGAAGGCACCAUCAUCAGAAAAGGGUGUCGCUUGUUUGUAACUAUGAGCGGAGAUAAGACCAAGAAAAGGCGGUCUAACAGACAACUCCUUGAUUGCCCGAGGCAAAGGAGCGGUUAAAACAUUGACCGCUAGAGAAGAAAUCACAACUGAAACCAGUAAAAGCAAUUUCAUUUGUUUUCCAGCCAUUUUAUGCUCUUUCUAUCGCUCUCCUAAUCUCCUUGCUCUCCCAACUCGACUGCAUGGUGCCUAUUUAUAGCACAAAUUGCGGUAAGAUUUGCCAGCUACCAUCUGUAAAUACACUCUUUUAACUUUUCACCACAAACCAUAUUCUCUCCUGCGUUAUUAAUAUUGUCGCUUUCCAAAUUAUGUUUCUGGGGCCAAAUUAACUCGCUGUUCUUGAUUGUAUACCGUUAAAGUCAGUAAUCAAUAAUGUGGUCCAACAUUUCAAUUAUUUUCACAAGAAUUAAGGUCCACCAGUUGGAUAUCAUUACUUACAAGUCAUUAUAUGGAUACCAUUUCAUGUUCUUUGCAACCAGCCAUACUGUAAUCUCAGACAUGCUUCCUUAAACAUGGAUCGAAUUGUGUUGUUAAAAAAAUAUUUUGAUUUUGAUGCAUCAUUUAACUACAUGGUUUUCUAGUUCUUUAAAAAAAAAAAAAAACAAAACAAAACUAACAAGGAUGCCUAAAAUUUCAGAGCUUUCGAGAGGGCAAACGGCUGGCUUUCUGACCGAUGAUUGAUAACUAAGGAUUUUUUUUUUUUUUUGGGUGAAUGAUUGAUUAAGGUAGGAGAUAGAGAUAGGCCAUAUGCAUCACCCUUAAAAACAGUUCAUAUUUUUGUUUAUGGAACUUGUGGUUUGCAUUCUACAUUCUGAAAAGCCAACUUAUAGUUUGUUUCUCCUUUUUUUCACUCGUUAUAGAUAGUUGUGCAGGCGGCAAAUAUAGAUAAACGUUAAAAAAUUUUGACAGAUAAUUAAGGCUUUCUGUUGUAUAAAUGCAGGAUCUAUAAGCCCAUCAGUUAUCUUCAUCCGAUACUUUGAGUUCCUAGCUACCCCUGUGAUAUAUGAACAUUAUAGGGCAAACCUAUAGAAGAAGGAAAAAAUGAAAAAUAUAGUGAUAUAUACUAUCUCGUCCCAUUGAUAGUGUCAUACUUUUCUUUUUUAUCUGUCCCAAAAUAAUUGUCACUUACUAAAAUUGGCAAUGAAAUCUUUCACACAUUUCUAUUAUAUACCCUUCAACGUGACAGCCCUUUCUUAUUUUUUAGUGGGCCUAAUUAUGCACUUACCAAGUACCAACACUGCACUUAAUAGUUUGUGACUCCUACGUGAAAUGCAAAUAACAACUGUGCAUGAUACUUAAUUUCCUCUAAAGUAGUGCGGAGACAUUUCAUUCUUUUGGGUUCCACAUGUCUUAUCAUACCUUGUGGCCUUUUUAUCAUUCAAUCUCGUAUGAAUACAUUGAAAGUCAAGCGAUGUAUUACCGGAAAUUGAACGCAAAUCAUUUAAAAGUCUUGCACCGUUGAUAAUAAUUGCAAGUCUCCCGAUGUGAGACACACUUUCUGCGGCGGAGGGAGUACUUUCUGACGUAGUAACCUAUAAUACUUUACGGUUGCUGCUACGGUAGAAAGUGGGAUGCACUUCCCAGCGUAGGCAGAAUGCCCACUAGAAGUACAAGUCAGCAUGAGCAUCUUUGUCCGUGUUUUUGGGACCCAAUUGAGGGAAGGUAAGCGGCAGAGGCUGUUAUCAUCUUAAGGGACUAACGGCAAAUACCAAUAUAAACUGUUGGGUCGUCAAAUGAAUAAAGAAUGUCUCAGACAGGACAGUAAAAGUCAUUAUUAAUUUAUGAUAUGAAUAGAAUCAAAUGAUUAUAUAGGAUUUUCAAAAAAUUAUUAUUUUAUUAUUUUAUCAAAAUUAUUAAUUUAACUCGUUAAGCAAGUCGAAAUCAAAAUUUAAAUUGAAUUCUAAUCUGAGUUUUGAGUCAGUGGAUUCGAAUGACUCAUUUAAAUCUAAACGCAUAUUAAAACUCAAUUAUUCAUGGGGUUAAGUAAAUCCACUAAGUAUUGUUAAAAUUUGUUAGACACAUUUACUAUUACAGUAUUUUCUUUUACUUUUCCCCUUCUCUUUCUUUCUUCUUAUUUUGAAAAUUAAGGAAUCUUUUCAAUUGUUGUGUAAAUGAUUUCUCAUGUUAAUACACAAAUCCAUUUUAACUCUUGUAAUAUUUCAUCAAUUGAAACUCGUCACAAUUACCAUUUAUAUUAUGGUACAAAUUUUCAUUGGGUCUUUUCCUUUUGAUUUGGAUAAAAAAUUUAUUCACUAAAUUAAUGUUUUUAAUUUAAUAAAAUAUUAUUACUUAUGUUUAAACAAUAUACGUGAACCUUUUUUUUCCUUUUUAGAUCAGAUGGUAGUGUAUAUAUGAUAAUUUAUCAUUCAAAAUGCAUAAUAGGCAGAUAAGGACCAUAAGGUUGAGGCCCAAGAAUUACAGAUUUUAGAUUCAAAUUCCUCUACCCACCCACUAUUUCUUAAAUCCUACCUCUUCCCUAAUAAAUUUUUUUAAAUGUAGGGACUUAACUCUUACAUGCAUAAGCAAAAUCUAAUUUUCAUCCAAUUUCUAAUUAAAUAUUUAUUCAUAAUACUAACAACUUAUUGCUUUCGUCAGUUGUUCAUAUACCAUGUCUUCCUAGUCGAGGGAAUCUGGAAAUUCUGAUGCAAUUAAUAACUUUUUUGCUUCAUGAAAUACUCCUCUCAUUUCAUUCUCCAUUUCUCUAAGAUUAUGUGAUUUAUAUACAAAAUGUCAUGCGAGAGUAGGAUAAACUUACAUGUAUAUAUAAGCGUGUGUGUGUGUCUAUAUAUAUAUAUAUAUAUAUAUAUAUAUAUAUAUAUAUAUAUGCUGAUGAUAAGUCAAACAAUCCUAAGGCUCUAGCAUUUAGAAUACAAAGUUUUAAUUUAAAGGCGCCAUCAUUUAAAUUCUAAAUUUUCAGUUUAGAGUCCGAAUUUUCAAUCCAAAGGCGUCAACAUUUAAAAUAAAAAAUUUCGAUCUAACCCGCAACUACCAAACUUCAAAUUUUCAUUGAGAAGGCGGCAACUACUAGUCCCCCAAAACUUCUAUUGAAUAUUGCAUAGAUUGAGAAAUAAUUAAACUCCAUUAUUGGAAAUACAUAAUCGCUAAUUUAAAAAAUUUAUUUAUAAUGGAUACAUAUCACCCCUAGCUUGAAAUAAUAAUAAAAAAAUUAAAAUACUCUUUUGUGUAUAGCUGGCAAUCGGGCAGGUUGGGUGGGUUAAUAAUGGAUUUUCACUUAAAUGGGUUAUACCCAACCCGUCCAACUUUAGAUUGGGUUGAUUUUGGAUUGGGUCAUAUUGGGUAAUCUCAAAUCCAUGACCCAAAUAUGACCCAACAUAUUAAUUAAUACAUUUUAAUACAUAAACUUUUUCAAAUACAUUUUAACACACAUAAAAGAUUUUUUAAAACAUAUAAACACAUUUUCACAUACAUAAAUGUAUACAAACACACACUCACUUUCUUAAGUUCCUUGGAAACAUAUCAUAAACAGAAUAAUAUUUUAUAUUGCUUGUAUUGUGAAUUUUAGAUAAUAAAUUGUACAUUUAACGAAGAGCAUAGCGCCCCCCCCCCCACACAAAACACCACCUUAAUCUUUUCAAUAAUCUCUUCCAUUGAUCCACUAUCAAUUUUUGUGUCCCUUAAAAAACUUUGAUUUGUGAUUUAUAGUUUGUCAUGUUCAGUAUAACUAGUUGCAGAGUUAGAAUUUAAAUUCAUAACCAUCUAGUUAUUUUAAUAGUUCAAACGUUCAAUCUUUGAAACUUUUGUGUUAUGUGAUUUAUGUUUAUGAUUGUUUUAUCUACAAUCUCAAUUCUAGUUUCUUGGUGUAUUAUGUUAAUUAUAUUUAUGAUUACUCAUUUACAAAUUUGAUAUCUAUUUGAAAGUCACCAUGUUACGUAUAAGAUUACUUAUCUAAUUUCUAAAUUAAAAUUAAAAUCUACCAGGUCAAUUAUGUCACGAUUCUGGUUUUUUGUAACACUAUGUUAAUUAUGUUUCUAAUUAUUCUUCUACAAUUUUGAUUCCAAUUAAAAGAUCACUAUCUAUGAGCACUUACUUAGAGGGAUCGCUGUUAGUAUAAACUUUUUAAAAUCAUUUUCUAAACUUUCAAUUUUAUCCUUAGGGAAAAACUUUUAAUUUUUCCUCUAAUUGCUUAAUCACAUUUUGCCAAUAUAACUACCCUAAGUAUUGUAAUUACCAAAUUACUAUAACCUUCUGAACCAAAAUUCUUCAAUAAAUUAUUGUGAAAAAUAAAAUUUUUAUACAAAUUAAUUCCUUUUAUUUAUUUAUGUAUAUAAUUACUCAUCUACGCAAACUAACAAUUAAAUUUAAUCCUUAAGAUUGAAGUACACAUAAAUACAUUUAUGGGCUUUUAACUUACCAAGGGUAAAUGCAAUAAAGAAAAAUCGCUUUUGAACUAAUGAACAUAAUUAAAAAAAUUGAAUGGCAAAAAUUGGAUAAAUUACUUUUAAAAAAGGGAAAAAAAGAAGAAGGGACAGCAAAUGUGAAGAUUGUGCAAAUGUAGAUACAUUUUAGUAUAAUAGAAUACUUAGUGAAUAUAGGUGCAUUGUUAUCUAUACUAUAUAUAAAGUUUGAGGAAGGGAUUUGGAGUUAACAUUUUAUGAACAUUUUUUAUCCUUAUAAAAAUUAAUUUUACUUUAACUAUCUAUAACUACUCGUCGCUACUUUUACUUCUAACUAUUUAAGCAUAUGUUUUUAACAUAACUACCCCUAAAUAUUAUAACUACUAAUAUAAAUUAUUUUAUGAAAAUUAUUUAAAACAUUAAAGUUUGUUUCAAUAAUAAAAAUUUUAUUUAAAAUAUAUUAUCAUAAAUAUUAUAUAUUUUUUGAUUGCACGCACAUUAUGAAAAACGAAGCAGAAUAUGAUUAAUAGUCCUAUGAUUAAUAGUCCUUAAAUCAAUAGGACUAAAUGCGCUUAAUCAAUAGUCCCAAGGAUUAUUGCAUCUGACCAAUUUUUCCAAAUCUUUCAGCUAUUUGCAGCUUGUUUCCUGCUAAUUAGGCAUGGGGAGCUACUCUCCAAUUAAUGAUAAUUCUUUAAUGCAUACAAAUGCCCGCAACUUGUUUCCCGCCAAUCAGGCAUGGGGAGCUACUCCAGAAUUAAUGAUAAUUUUUGGGUGCAUACAAAAGUCCAUAAGUUGUUGAGGGGCAUACAUGUUAUUUAUCCUAAAAGUACAAGGGACAUGGUGAAACUUUUUCUACCAGGUUCCGGUCACUACUUUUAAUAACCUUUCUUCACCCAGGCCCACACUGCUGUGUUGUCCUAAUUUCCUUGGCUCUUCCCACCGUGCAUAGGAAGGUCAGCUUUCCACCGUAGAUGGAACCAAUACUUUUAGAUGUAGAACGUACAGACAAUGCAACUUUUAUUGCUAAAGAACAAAGUGCUGAACAAAAUUGUUAAGUUUUAAAACUAUUAUUGUAUUUGACAUAAAAUGCCAGCCGUGAAUAGAGUAAAUGGAGCAAAAUGUCGUCACACUAUUACUUUUAUAGCUAAAAAUGUCACUUAAUUAUUUUGUAGCUAAAAAUGUCACAUAACUUUUUUUCGUAGCUAAAAAAUGGCAUUUAACUUUUUUUCUUAACUAAAAAUAUCACUCAACUAUUUAAAGAUAACUUAUCAGUAAUUACGUUAAGUUUGUGCAUCAAAGCCAUGGAAAAGUAACGCACGUGACUUGCACGAGAGACCGUUGAAGGGUAAAAAUGCCCGAAUUUUCUUUUAGAGACAAUUUGGAAAAAUGAACAAUAUUCUCAGUGUCAAAAUUAGUUAUAUUAAAGGAUCAAGAACUUUAACUAAAAUACAUAGAACUGCUAGCUCAUGUGUUCUCUGCGGACGCCACCUAAGCUACCGGAGAUUAUUUGUGCUUUUAGGAUUUUUACUGUUCCACAAGGAGAAAACUAGAAGUUAGGAGAAGCUGAUAUCAUUUCUGUGCUUUUAGGAUUUUUUUUUUUUUUUUUUGAGACUCUGACUAUUUUGUCCUGGAGCUCUUUGCCCGUAUCAUGCAUGCGAUUUUCUGGUAGCAUUUAUGGCCUAAAUUUAAAAGGAUGACCAAGAAGUUGCGUUGCUUUUAACAGUUGGGUGACACAUUUUACUAAGGGAAAAAAAAAAAGUUUAAGUGACAUUUUUUACUAAGAAAAAAGUUAGGUGACAGUGAGACAUAAAAGGUAUUAAUUUGAUCACAUUUUGGCCUGAGGUGAAAAUAACAAUCACAAUAAACAAAUCGUACAAAUUUAAGAAUGAACGGAAACAAUUUCUGCUGGCCCUGGCCCUGGCCCGCAUAAGAGCCCAUCUCACAAAGAGCCCUGAAAGUACUUUCGCCACAACAAAAGCGUGAAAAAAAAAAAAAAGAAAAGAAAAAGAAGCCAUCCAUAGAGGAGCCAAGUGGCGGGGGCUGUCCCUUUCCGACCGACGAGGAAAACAUACAACGUGCCGAGGGAGGAUAGGAAUCCCCGUAUGGGUCCGUUAUUGUUUUAAAUUAAACCGUGCACGUGGAUAGACGUUGCUAUCCUCAGAUUGCACAAGGAGAUAAGGAAAUCCAGGUCGACCAAUCGUGGAUAAACUGAGAAACAAACGCGUAGACUAAGAUUUUACGUGAAAUAUCGCAUGGGAUGGGAGUUUCCUCCAGGUGUACUAGCCUUCAAAAUUUUAGAAAUUUGUCGUAUGCUGUACAUAACAAAUGAAGAGGGGGCAGGAACGGGAUUAAUUGCCUGAAGCCAAUUAAUAUAAUGUUUUGCUGCCCAGACAUAUUAAUUGUGUUUGACAAUAAUGUUGUUCGUAAACCGGAUUUGCCAAACUAUUGACGGGAUUAUGUUGGAAUGCCUGAAAACAUUUUGUGCCUCAGCACACCUUAUGUGAGAUCAUCCUAAACAAAGAAUGCUAUGAAACUGGAUGGAGUCUUUAUUCACAGAUUUCUUGUGGCCAGUUUUUUUUUUUUUUGUGUAGGAGAAUAAGCUCCCAUCUCAAUCAAGCUUCAUAAAAAUCGUAAUGAAUGGCAAAAUUUCAUGCUCGUAUGGAUAUUGUAAUGAAAGUCUUGUACGGUUAAUUCUAUGUAUGCCCCCGUUGCAGUGUGGCAGAAAACAACAACAUUAAUGUCAUCAAGUUUAUUGCGAGGCCUUAAACCACAUUGAUGUUUAUAUGGUGGCCUUUGAUGAGGAUUAUUUGCAUCUUUGUGACUAAAACUUGUAAAUGACCUGCUCAUAAUGCCUUCACAAAUUGAACAACAGCUUUGGCGGCAUUUGAAGCUGCCAGAGGCCCAAAUGAGUAGAUUGAAUUCUGCCCUUCUUGUGCUCCAGCUUGGUCGGAUAGUCCUCGGAUGACAAUAACCGGAAACCCAUUUGACAGACUUGUCUGAAAGGCCAGAACACACACAGAGUUAGUUAUCUUGGUUGUUAAAAGGAAUGAUUCUGAGAAACCAAGAUUCAAAUCUGUUGAGAAUUGAAAGGUAUGUGAAAAUUGAUCCAACGUGGUUGGUUUCUGCAUAUGUCAAGACGAAUUUAGACUGCGGAUUUGCAGAACAGGUGACCAAGAGCAUGACCAAGCUUUGGUACACCUGAGUUGUAAUGGCUGAAAUACACUGACAAGAGAAGGGAACUUGCCAUGACUACGGCUACACUCUCCAUAUCCACUGAGGAGACGUGGAAAGUUUUGUAUAGGAACUCCCCAUAAGCUGCAUUGUCCAGGAAAAUGUCAGCAGUUGCGCCGCUGAGUCCAACAACUAGCUUGGGCCUUUGAGUUAGGCACGAGCUCGAGUUCACGCACUGCUCCAGCACCAUCCCCUGAAACAGGAAAAAUAGCACGAGUCUUGAGUAUUUUUGACACUUAAUAAUUGCUAAGGUUUUUCAGGCUUCAGAACCAGAACGAAUGCAACGGAUCAUAAGCAUGGUUCGAAGUCUCGGCCGAGACCGAGACAAGAUGACUCCAAGAUACUUGACUCGUCAAGAACUCGAUCGAGUCACCGAUAACUCGGCCGAGAAGUCUCCGAUACAGAUAUUCUUGGCCCAAUCAGCCCGAGUCAAUUCGCAAAUUUUCUUUUGCUAUUUUUUUUAUUAUUUUUGUUUAGCAUAUUUUUUAAUAUUAUGUAUAAUUUUUAAAAUAUUAAAAUGCUUCAAAAUUUGCGUCUCGUCGAAACCAUGACUAAUAUACCAAGACCGAUGUGAAACGAUUUGCACCGCGACCGCAAUCGCGACUGUGACUUUGAACCAUGAUCAUAAGGGAGUCCUAUACUAAUAAAUCUUCGAUUGAGAAAGAAGAGGAAAAAUACAGAAGAUAAGAGAAGGAAUAGUGUCGAGUCAUUUCUUACCUCAAGAUGAGUGUGUGCUAAUUCAAGCCAAUUCUUGCUUACGUGAAACCAAAGCUUUCUUUGAGCAGUAUUGGGCUUUCCCGACUUCGAAAAGAACUGCUCAGUGUUGUAUCCAAUGCUCCCCAAUUCAUUAUAUCCUCCGGAAGGCUCACUGUAGGCUCCAAAAUCCAAUUCAGUAAAAUCACCUACUGGGAUUGUCGCAUUAGGCUUCUGCUCAGGAAAAAGAUUCAUGUAAAUCAGUCGAAAACAGAUGUAUUAACAUGUUAAAAGCAAGAAAUGGAAGUUACGAGCCAAUCCCAUAAGCCCGCCUGAGCAAACUGCUUGGGGAUGGUAACAUCUCCUAUGGACAUGGAAUUAUUAAUACUGCCCGCGAUGCCAAAAUGCACUACUCCAAUUACAUCAAACAUAUCUAACAUUUGUUGCGUUGCUGCUGCAGCAUUCACCUGAGUGAAACAGGAUGACGUUUGUAAGGUUGUCAUUGACCAAAAGGGAAACCCAAAAAAAUAAGACGAAGUAGAGGAAAAAAAAUACAUAAAUCAUAGAAAUUAAGCACUUUAUGUUGGAAAAUUUCUUUCUGUCUAAUAUUGUUCAGUUCGCUGCAUCUAAUCUUAGCUCCUUUAGAAAGGCAUCAAUACUUUCUCAUGUCCCAAUUCAAAGGGCUCCUAUACUUUUAAAAAAACAAUAAGAAUAAUCUGACUCAGCCGCGAACUAGAGAAAAUAUGAAGCCUACCAUUCCAACCCCGCAUCUCACAUAAAUGACUUUCUUUUUUCCCAUCUUCCCUACUCGGAAGCGCCUGCCUGCAAGAGAAUAGUAGAAACCAGGACCUCUUCCUCAAUAAUCAAAGUUAUAUAUGGACGGACUUUACCUGACAAGUCGACAUAAGGGUGUUUUUGGUGAGGUUUGAAUGCACCAGUGCCAAAGAAAGCAUCUUCUUCUGGGGGAUAAACCGUGAUCAAACCAAGAUAAGGCCCCCUAAGGUUAACCUCCUUCAGUAUUGUUAAUGAAGAUCCUAAUGUUUCUGCUGAUGACAGAAGGGCGGACAACGACAGACAACACAACAGAGCGGAAGCAAGAUCUAUCAUCACUAAUCCUCUUUCAGUGACUUGUUUUGCAGCCAUUGUCGUAUUUCUUUUAGCAUAGACGAUAACUAAUGUUUGCUUGGGAUUUCUUUUGUGCUCAAGCAGUCAAGGCCUAUUACUCAGUCGUGUCUGUCUCUUUCAACUCUUCGAAAAAAGUUUUGAGCAUUGAAGAAGGAUAAGUUCAUAUUUGGCUCAUUCAUUGGAUUUUCAACCAUACUUGCAUGAGUCCACAUCUUCCAUUCAAAAGUUUGACUAAUUGGAUCUGACCAGAACUAAUACGUUAUUGCCACUAGGGAGUAGGGAAAGGUCUGAAUCAUUGAGGGAGAAGGUAAAAUGAAAUAGUAACCGGCAACUUUUGACAAUUUAUGACAACAUUUAACAUGUCCCUCCCUUCUGGACAGCUCGUUUGGUCGCGACAGCCCCUUGAAAGUCAUUGUCCAACUCUCCCACCAGGGUUCGAAUCCCAGCGAUUAUCGUGUUCGAGGGGAAGGGACCUUUCCUCCUGGGCCAGAGUGGGAUUAGUCGGGCCCCGUAAGGAUUGACCCGGACAUUCACUCCGUUAGAAAAAAAAAAAAAAAAAAAAGGACGAACAUUUGACAUGAGGGCAGGCUUUAGGAACAGAUUCUCGCAAUCAGCAACAAUAAGCAAAUACAUUGGCUUCAAAGCGUACAAGCAAAUUCAAUCAAAUCCCAGAACAUUAAAGAGCUUCAAGCGAUGGCUUAAGAACCCUCCCUGCACUCUAAAUUCUUGCCCACCCUUCUUUCUGGAUGCACGUAACAUUGCUUGUCUUUGUUCUUACAUGCAUAUAGAGGUUGGGCAUUUAGUUGAAAGAAAACACUCUUGAAGCACCAACCGACCAAGGAGCCUUGCACACAGUCAUAUUCUGUAGUACAAACUUGAAUAUUAAAAUACUCUGUUGCACAUUAACUGAAAGUCAUGAAGCAAAAGAAGAUGGGUGUUGGAAUUUUGUUGAACCAAGACAGAAGCAGAUGUGAAAUUUUAAUCACUUUCUUAUAGUAAUAAAGUUCCUCUGGAGCAUCCAAAUGUGUUCAGAUCCCCGUGUUCCUCUACAAUAUCGUUACAUCGAAAGAAUAUGUUGUCAAAAUCAUAACAGAAUUCACCGGUUCUGAAGGGCCUCUAUUGCUUUCUUCCACUGAAGUGCUCUUUGUUUUGCAUCCUCAAAGGACAUGACUUUCUUCGGCUGCAUCAUCACAAAAUACGUAUUGGUUAGAAGCUCAGAAGCAAGCACAUUGGAAUAUGAUUGGACUUGAAAAUCUCAUUUUACAGGUAGACAUGCCCCCCAAGGGCAAACAUACCGUGCAAAUCUUAAAAAGUGAAGGGCUAGUAACUUGAAUGCUGAGAUCGUUGGGAUUGUCGGACCAUAUUAUAUUCCCCUUAACCACCAACUUUGCAGGGUCCACGUAGAUCAACUUUGGUUUGUUGGUGAGAAUAAGCUGUACUUUUUUGCUUGUUAGCUUCUGAAGUUUCUUAACCAUAGAAAUCAUAAGAACAGAUUCACCCGGCUCCAAAAACUGUUUCCUGGUAAGAGAUAAGAAUGCGAGAUUUUACUAAAUAUGACAGCAGAAAAGGAAGGAAAAAAUAGAAAAGAGGGACGGUGACGGUGACGGUUAAUGAUAUUGAUGCUCCCAUAAGAUGAGACUUGGUGGUAGGAGGAAACUGUCACUUGUAAUGAGCUGAGUGUUACAUAGUUGCGGUAACACAUCUGAAUAAAAUAAAGGAAAAAUCUAUUCUCUCCACCCCUAGCCGAUCAAAAUAUACACCCCCUCUAAAAUUAUUUUGAGUCUCCAACCAGACCAUAACAAUAGUCUAAUCUAUAGGCUAUACCGGGAUCAUAACGGUUGUGAUGCAAUUUCAAGGCAAAAUAUGCUUUGAUUUCUGUUAGAACCUAAAUGGUAGGAUCUUUAAGUUAGAGAAUAAAGAAGUUUGAAAAGGUGUCCUGAGCAUAUCAAUAUGGUCGAUAGAUAUUUAAAAAAAUAACAACUUUUUUUGGAUGCAUAUUUUCCUGAUCCUUUGAACAAAUUUCAAUUUUAAAACCAACAAAAGAACUACUCUGAUUGUCUUCUGACACUCCUUUUUACCAUAAGCUCAUUGACUUCUUCCCUCCCUCUCAGACACACCAACACAGGCACACGUGCAUUUACAUAUCCAAACAUAGUCAAUAUGCAUACUUACACACAUACAUAUACCAAUUGACUACCUAGGCACAUCACAGCUUUAGAUAGUCACAAUUUGCUCUCCCACUCCUUUCAAGUUGCAACUUUCUUUGUUUAUCAAAUUCUAGGUUCUAAACAUCAUGUCAAGCAAACAGGAAAAGUCUCAUAUAAAACGUAAGUUGUCUAGCACCACUGAAAUUAAAUGCCAAAAAAAAAAAAAAUCAACUGUUGGUGGAGCAAUAUCACACUCCUGUUAUCAAACUCACCAUUUGGAGUCAAAGGAAUCAAUUGAAGCAAGUCUAGUUAUGCUACCAGACUCAGAAGAUGAGGCAGCACCUCCAUUUCUAUCAUUUGUUUUUGCUGAACUAUCUCCAACAUGUGAUGGGUUCCAUGCAGAUUCAUGACCAUCAGGCCCACUAGAUGGAGCCUAAAAAAGAGAUAAGAUGGCAAUGAGAAUUAUUCAAUGAAAACAAAACAAUCAGUUGAGAGUCAUAGCAACACAUACUUUAAGCUCCGAUGCAAGUCUAGGAGGGGUUUGUGAUCUCAAAUUUGUCCAAUCAAUCCCCUCAAAGAAAGGAUGCUUCUUAAGGGAAGAAUAACCAUCAGGUCCAGCCCCUGGCCUCCUGCCAGGAUCAAUAUCCUGUAUUGUUCCAUUGACACGUAUGUUAGGUGCUUCACUGAUGAAAUAUCCAUCAAAACACAACGAUUUUAAUUUUCAAAGAUUUUAAGAUAUUUGAAAACAAACAAUAGAAGGGAGAUAAGGGAGUAGUGGAGGACAACUGUUGUAAGUGAACUACAAAAGCAAAAGAAUUGCUAAUGUUUACUGGUUUUGCUCUCAUACCUUUAAGCUACACCUGGUAAAACCCUAAAGAAAAACCAUAAUGAGCUAUUCCGCCAGCACUUUUCAACAACAUUCCUUUUUUACCUUGGCUCCAUGCUUCAAUUUUCAAAAGCCACCACUGCUAAUUAGUUUGGCAUCCAAAUAGCCUCUAAGGCCAGAUUAGUUUCUAUGAAAAGAAUAAGCCACACCUCUGAGUUCUGACAAAAUAUACCAAUUUCAAAAUUGGUUCUGACCCUUAAGACAUAUAUGGUUCCUCAAGAAAAGACAUCCGAACUUGAAAAAGGAAAAGGAACAAUUUGCAAUUAAUUAUCCCAAAGUUACGCUAUAAUUUUACGAGAGAAUAUGACAAGAUUUGAGCCCUUGAUGUAAUUUGAAGGCAAAAUGGAGCUGUCAACUACACUUUGUCCAUAAAAAAAGCACGCAUAUGUUUGGAAAAUACAGGACUAUUCCAGCCUUUCCUUCUAUAUGACUUUUACAAAAUAAAAGAAAGGAUAGUGGGAAAACCAUGAUGAAUAUACCUUUGGAAAUUCAGCAAAACUGUUGCAACCACUUUUCUUUACUUCAAAUUAUGCAUGAAAUUAUGAAAAUGAUAGUGGAUAGGCAGCAUAGGUACAGGUAUAUGUGCCUUUAUACUUAAAAUGAAAAAUGAAAUAGAAGACAGAGUAAAAAAUACAGCUUAUAUUAUUUCACAAAGAUCAAGGGGUAAUUGGGUCUAUCCGGAACUAGAUGAAAAUGCAAAUAACUGAGCUUACCAGCAGUCGAUCUAUAAUAUCUCUGGCUUCUGCAGAGAAAUAGUUUGGAAAUCGGAUAUCCCUAGCAAUUAUUCUCUGGAAAAUGAGCCAUUCACUUGCAUCUUUAAAAGGAGAAGUUCCUGAAAGCAUUUGGAAUAACGUGCAGCCAAGUGCCCAAAGGUCAUUUCUGGUUCAGUAUAACCAAAUGGGUCAAAUAAAAAAAGUUAGGCAGCCAGAGAGAUAGAAUGAUAAUAAGUAGUACUAAGUAAACAUAGAGGAACCAAUUCUUGCCAUAUUUUCAAAUUUGUAGUCCACUACUUAACAAGCUGACAUUACAUGAAAAUAUCUAUCUAAAUGGAAUGAAAGAAGGUUGUAGGCCUUCCAAGAGGUAACUACCUUACCCGAAAGUUGCAGGAGAUGAAUUUAAAACUUCUGGAGGGACAUAAGCAGCUGUUCCCACAAAAGUACAAGCUUUGUCAUCUGGAAUAAAAAUAAACAAAUCAAUUCAUUACAUUAAUCUGCAUACCAAUCAGUAAUCUCACCAUCAAUGAAUUUUCACUAAGAAAGAUGUUUUAGUUUUCCUGAAUGAAUAAUUACAGAAGGUUAGUUUACCCGAUGCUGCAUUUGGAAGAACUGUUAUUCGACUAUCUUGCAUAGGCUUUACACUCCCAAAAUCAGCAAUUUUAAUAUGCCCAUCUUCAGUAAGUAGCAGGUUCUCUGGCUGCCAUUAAAGAAAUUAUUAUCAUUUCCUAUAUUCCAAUGUAAGAGCAAUAUAUCAUGCAAAAUACCUUUAUAUCUCGAUGUAUCAGCCCCAUGCUAUGUAUAUAUUCAAGAGCAUCUACAACUUCAGCUGCAUAGAAGCGGGCCUCAUCUUCUGACAGACGACCCUUCUGCAACAAAAGAAACAAGAUAUAUUGGGGAAAAGCUGACCAGGCAGGCCAGAAAAGAUGCUCUUUAAAUACGACACUGUUCACAAUCCCAGCUCAACAGGGCACCCAACAGGUCUCAAGUUCAAGUCUCAGGCCCUCCCCCUGCCCCUUCCAGUUCCCCUUUGUGAGUUAUGGAGUCCCCAGUGUACCAAAUAAGCAAAAGAGAAAUAGGAGAACAAUCUUGCAAAUGAAAUUUCAGAUAAGAUUGUUCCACUAUAUCUACAAGGAUCAAAGCAAAUAAACCUUUAUGUCUGAAAAUGUUGAGGAAUGCUACAUAAGUGAAUCCAUGUAGCUCAAAAAUUUUGCUGCAUCAUAUAUUGUUUGGUGCCACAUGUUAAAGUUAAUUUUGUGCCUUAGAAUUUUGGAUCAAGUACACUUCCAUGUAGGAUUGACAUCAUAUUACUACUAUUAAAUGAAUAAUAAGCUAGAUUUUGACAUCCACUUACCCUGGUGAUUUGAUCAAAAAGUUCUCCACCUUCACAGGACUCAAGUGCCAUAUCUUCAAAUGUAAUAAAACAAGAAUAUACUUAUGUCAAAUUACUAAGCAAGCCAUGAAAAAGCUAUGGAAUUCAAAAUGGAAACGGUGGGGAAAAAAACACUAAGCCAACACUGUGAUUUUACAUGGUUGAAGGAAGCCAGCAAGAAGCAAGAACACUCACACAGAGAAUACGUGUCUUGAAAUGUGAAAAACAAUCGCACCACACCAGGAUGGUCUAACUGAUCAAGUACAAUGCGUUCCAAUUUUACAUAAGCAGUUUUAUUUUCCUUGGUGAUAAAUUUUUUGUCCAUGAUCUUCAAGGCAUAUAUAGUUCCCGAGUCUUUCUUCCUUGCUCUAACAACCUGUAGGCAUCAAGAAUUGGUUAGAAUUAAUUUCGCUUAAAUAUCAAAUUAUGAACUUCAAUCCCAUCAAAAGUAUGCAUUACACAAUAAUAAAUUACACUUAAAAUUGUAUAUACUCAACAACAAUCCAAAUAAUCUUUGUUUUUGGGAGACCUGAAAAGUGGAUCAGGGAAGGAGAUAAGCAAUUGCAACUUAUGAUCUUAGACAAAACAAACUCCCAUUUAUAACUAACUGAUACAAACCUAAUUGUAACAAGAAGAUGGAAUUUGAAAUGGCUUCUCUUGGCUUCUGAUAAUCAAAAAGCAAAACAUAAAAGCGCAACAAAAGGUAAGGAAAAUCAUUGAAGUGAAUGAGACAAAAACACAUGCUAUCACCAGAAAAAUAACAUUGCAAUAGGUUUAAAGUUUUGACACAUUGAAAUUUGUGUCCUACAUGUAAUUCUCUCCAUCUAAUUUCACUAUACACCAUGAAUUCCAGCGUACAAUCACUACUGUGAUUUCUGAGGAUGCAAAUCCUCAAAAACCCAUCCUACAGGUCUCUAAACCUCACAAUUUAUUUGCCUCUGCACAAUUAUCUUACGAAAUUACACCUACCUAUGUUUAAGCACAAAUUACUUCCCCAUUUAUUCACCAGCAUUAUCUUUUAUUCUUUAACCCCAAUGAACUCACUACCUAUAUGUAAUUGAAUCCAUAAAAAUAAAUAAAUUAAAAUAUACCAUGAAACUUGAACUUAGAAACUCUUCUUGCCAAGGCCUCAACAUCUAAAUUUUUGCCACGUUAAAAAAAUAAUAAUAAUAAGAACCUUAUUGGCAAGAAUAAAACUCCGCCAUAAAAUAACAUCAGAAAAUAGCCCCAGAUACAAAACAUCUGUCUAGUUGAAAAGUUACUUUUAUUCCAUUCAAACAAAAUUUAAAAAAAAAAUCCAGUAAAAUAUUGAUAACUAUUUUCAAUACCUAGAUCCUUUUCUUACACCAGUACUCUGCAUAUAGAUAUACAUUCUCAUGCAAAAAACCAGUACUCUGUUGAUUAUUCUUAAUUGACGAAAACAAAACACUUCUAUUUUCACGACAUGAGCGCAUUAGCUGAAGGUAAAGUGAUUUAGAAGCUCUGGACGGGGAUUUUCCUACACAUUUAGAUUGGGAUAUUUUGAGGGAAAUGGAAAGUUCUGAGGAACUGGAGUCUUUGGAAAUGGAGGAGGUAUGACCGUGCUUCUGUUAUGCAUUGCAAAUUUCUUUUUGCCCUGUUUUGUUUUUUCCCAGGUUGUUGGAAUUACUGUUGGGUAGAACAUUAUUGUAAUACUCGCAGAUUGAAGAAAGAAUGGAGAAAGCGAUUGGUGAUUGGGAUGAAUUAUAUCGUAAUGCUCGAAAAUCUGAAAAGCUUAAGUUUGAAAUGAAUGAAAGAGAUGAAGGAGAGCUGGAAAGGACUGGGCAACCUUUGUGCAUCUAUGAGAUUUACCAUGGAGCUGGAGCUUGGCAAUUUCUACAUCAUGGUUCUUUGUACCGUGGGUUGAGUCUGUAAGUUUUUUUGAUCCAGGAACACUGGCUUAUAUUAAGUCAUCUGUUGCAACAUGAACUAAGAAGAAACUAUCUUUCUAGAGCAAGUUCAGUAAUCUAUUCUAUUACCUCGUCUGUGUUGCUGACACUUGUGUGUUUCUUCUAGUAGAAAUUGCUGGUUUUCUUACUUUGAAUAAUUGUUAUCCUCUUUUUCUAGGCUGUGUUUUGCAUGUAAGUUUUGUAGUUUGUCAGUGCUAAUACUGGUAAAUCUCCCCAGUCUACUCGGGCCAGAAGAUUGAGGUCAGAUGAUGUUGAUGCAGUUGCUCGGCUUCCUGUCCUGAAUGACACAUAUUACCGAGACGUACUUUGUGAGAUUGGAGGCAUGUUUUCAGUUGCGAAUGGUGUUGAUAAUAUCCAUAAGCGACCUUGGAUCGGUUUUCAGUCUUGGCGUGCUGCUGGGAGGAAGGUGUGCCCUAAUUUUUCAUGUAUUUCAGAGGAAUUGUCUUUCUGGCUAACCUUGCUUCUUUUUUAUUCUAGAUAAUGAAAUAUCAUAUAUUAAAAUUGAGGUUCUAAUGCCUGUAAUGGGAUUGCAAGAUAGUGUUGUCAAAAUAGUUUUCCUUUACCAUUAAUUGUUAUUUUUGUAAUCAAGCAAAAGAAUAUUUUUCAUCUGAAUGUCUUCUGGCCUACAAUAUAUGACAGGCUAGUCUCUCUACAAAAGCUGAGCAGGUUCUGGAAGAAGUAGUACAAAGAAAUACUAAAGGAGAUGUGAUAUACUUUUGGGCGAUGUUGGACAUGGAUGGUGGAUUUAUGGGAGGAAUGACGUGCUUACUUUUUGGUCCAUGUGUGACAUCUUAAAUGGAGGAAACUGCAGGUUAGAGUGUUUUGGGAGACACAUGACCUACGCUGUUUUUAUAGCUUUUCUUAGUUUUACAUAUCAUUUAAAGACUACAGGCAUCUAAAUUUUUCUCCCCUUUUAAAGAUGCUAAAUUACAUAGAAUAUGAGAGAAUCUUCUCUCUUCAAAUUUGCAUUUUUUUUUACUUAUUAAGCUAGUGUUUGAAGAUUGUGUUGCUAAAUUUUUUUCAUUUGAAUAAUUCAAAUUUGCAGAAGUGCCUUUGAAGAUGCAUUCCGUAUAAUGUAUGCCCUACCGUCACAUGUAGAAGCCCUUCCACCCAUGCCUGAAGAUGGAGGGCGCUGGUCAGCCCUACAUAGCUGGGUCAUGCCAACCUCUUCUUUUCUGGAGUUCAUUAUGUUUUCCAGGUAAUUUCCCUGGAGUAACACAUUGCUUAACUUUUUGGCAAUUUAAUAUCAUGAUUAAGAUGCCACGGCUGAGGUCGUUGGUUGCUUUACCUUCAUUUUGUCAUCUGACUGAAAAUUCCUUUGCAUAUUAGGAUUUUUGUGGAUUCUCUCGAUUAUUUGCAUGUAAAUUCAAGCAACAUGACUUCUUGUUUGUUGGGUCUUCAGUGUUGGAGGUAAGUAUAGACCAAAAGUUAUCUGUAAUCAAGAAAAUGACAAAAUGAAAGUUUCUUAUGCUGAAAUUGUGACACUUCUACCAGAAGCAGCAUUGUUACUGUCGGGUGAUGGAACUUCUGGUCAACGUAUGGGCAUAUCAUAGUGCACGUAGGAUGGUUUACAUUGAUCCCCACUCAGGUUUGCUGGAGGAACAACAUCCAAUAGAACAACGGAAAGGAUUUAUGUGGGCGAAGUACUUGAACACCUCAUUAUUGAAAAGUAUGGAUGAAGACCUUGCUGAAGCAGCAGAUGACAAUGACCAUCCAUAUGAAAUGUGGUUAUGGCCGUUAACAGGGGAAGUUUACUGGCAAGGUGUAUAUGAGCGUGAGAGGGAAGAAAGAUAUAGGUUGAAGAUGGACAAGAAGAGAAAAACAAGAGAGAAACUACUCGACAGGAUGAAACACGGAUAUGUGCAGAAGGCACUUGGAAGAUUGAAGCUGUAGAUCUCAGCAGGAAGAGUUGAAAGUUUUGUUGGAAUUUCCUAUUCCUAUUGUCGUCGAGGAGGCGAGGUGAUAAUUUUUCUAAGCUUGAGCAUUCGGGGUGCCUCAAUGCUGAUAAUGGAGUAAAGUGAUUGUUCCUUAACAGCAUCAAAGGUAGUUGGAACUGACUUGUUCUUCUGACGUUACUGAAUACAUUAAACGGGGGUCGCAGGUGCCAAGAUACACUUGAAAAAAAGCAAGCUAAGCUAGAAUGACAUACCAACAAUUUUGUAGCCAACAUAGCUAGCACACAGGUAUAAAUUGCACGGCCUUCAACACUACUCCAGAUCUAACUGAUUUUGGCUGGAAUUCUUUAGACAUACAAUCGUAUUCUUUUCACAUGUACAUAUCCUUUGAAAUAACGAUCCAAUUCUUCUGAAAAGCCCCUUUUUGGCUCUCUGACUUGUAACUACUAAAACCAGGACACCCUCGACUAGAGGUUUACAAUUUUGACUGACUUAUGGGCUGCUAUUGUUUGAGGGGCAGAUUUCGUGCUCGUAGUAUUUAUAGGAAAAUGGGUUUACAAAGGCACUAUUCUUCCAAAUUUGUAACUGCUUGCAACCCACUAUUGGUGCGAUGUUCUUUCAUACAAUUUGACAGGAUUAUGGUACCUUAUGUGCACAGUUAACUUAUGACAAUAUCAAGGGAUACUCUGUUCCUAUUUCCUAGUACUUUGAUGAUUUUCAAGGCGAAACCAAAAGGCAAACCCAAUAACAUUUUAACGAGCACAUUCUAAAAGCCUUAAAUGCAAAUAGGAUUGGAACACCAAGCUCUGGUUUUUUAGCGGUGUCAAAUUUGUCACAUUUUAUUUGCCCAAUUUCCCCUGUUUCAAAUGGGUUUGGGCCACCCAGAUUCAUUGUCAGGCUGAUCCGUGUAACUCAUUUUCGGACACAUAGCUCUAUUUCCACUCGUCCCUUUUUGCCAAAUUUGCUUGAAAUUUUCAGCGUUUUUUUCUCACAGAAAGUGUGACGCUUGCAAUUUCAAUUGCGCACUUCUAAUUUCAAUGCCUGAUUUGGGGAAAUUCUGGAGCAAUGUCAGUAGAGUGCCCGGUUUCACUGACUGCUUGAUCGGAAACUUCUCUUAAGAACUAAUCAAUGUCCAUUAGAUCGGUCUCACUUGACCACUACAAGCAAGGAAAAACCGAAGGAGACUAUUUAUCAUUUAAAAAAGAUGUAGCAAAUUUUAUUCUCCUAAGAUAGGCUUAAGAGACACGGAGUUGAAAGUGCACGACGAUUAAUGGUCCAUAAAUUUUCAAUUGAACCAUUAAUAUAAUAGAGUAUGUUUGGAUAUAAUAUUAUUAUUUGGGAUAAUUUUUUGAAUAAAUAUUAUAACACCUUUUUUUAACGUGAUGUAUGUAAAAUAAAAUUUUUAUAAAAUAUGUUUAACAAAUAAAUAUUACAAAUAAUAAACUGUCCAAACAAACAUAAGAUAAAAAAAAAAAAAAUUGAGUAGCAGCAAGAAGAUCCUGAUUGAUGUUUGAACACAUUGCACUAUACGAACUGAUUGAGUAAUCAGUUCACUAACCAAAACCUGCAAGCAAAAGAUUUAGAAAACAUCCAAAAUCAAACACAUAGAGACAAAAAAAAAAAAAUGGGAAGAAGAAGGAUUCGACCAGGAUAAUAUAUAGUCAUUUCAACAUUCGACGGACAUUUUUUUUUCCUUUCCUUUCGUUUUAUUUUUGUCUUUUCCUCGGUGACUCUUGAAAUAUUAAUUUAAUGUAUAGUAAUAAUUUAAAAAUAAUCCCCCCAUGCCAGCCAGUACUAAAAUCCUGCCCUCCCUCAUCGUACGCCUAAUUGGGAAUGUUGGGCUGAGCAGCAAAAACCGUGUAGGGUUUUCGGCUCCCACUCCAAACCCCUACUGUUCCCUGUUCACACCUGAAGACUCAUCUUACGCAUCUGCUUCUUCUUUCAGGUGACACCCAUUUCUUGCAUUUCUAGUUAUCAAAUCACUGACUUCUUUAUGGACUUUAGCUUAUCUUACUUUUUUUUAUCGGUUUUUUGUUGACAAAAUGAACUGGCCGUUCAUUCUCUGCUGUUUCCCAUUUUGGUUUUCUUUUGAGGAGCAACACUGUAUGCUGAAGUUCUUGUAAUUUUUUUCUGAAUCAUUUGUUGUUUUCGUUUCAAAUUGGGAUGGGCUUGCAAAGUUGAUGUCCCACUGCAUUUCUUGGUUGCUGGAAUGUGGAGGAAUUAGUAACCCAAGUUAUUUUCUUCUCUUUUUUCUAUUUAGACAUGAAUGCUGGAAUGCUAGUGGAAAAUUUUCAAUUCAGCUAAUUUUUUUGGUUGGGCAUUAUGUGGGCCAGCCAAUUUUUUUUUUUUUUUUGGGGUUACAAAAAAUUUGUCUAGUCUAUAUGCUUAAUUGUUUUUUCCUUUUGUGUUGGGGUUUGAGCAGAAUGCUGGCAGAAAUAUGAUUAGUUUUGUGUCAAAUCAGUUGACAUUCUUCGAAAGAACCAAAGAGACGCUCCCUUAGAAUACUAAUGAAUCUUAUUCUCUCUUAAUGUAUAUGCAUAUAAGGAGGCCGGUCUUUUGUUAUCUUACAGAGAAAUAGAGUCUGGAAAGUGAUGAGAUAAACUCUGCAGUUCAUAGGUCUUUGAAUGUGUGACAUGACAUAUACAUGCGGCUAAGAAACCUAUCUUUUAUGUUGCUUGUUUACCCCACGAAAGGCAUCAACUGAAAAUUAUUCUAAUCACCUGAAAUUCAUAUCUGUGGUUGAUGUGUAGACAUGCGUUGUACAGUCACUGACUUGCAACGAUCCUAAACUAUCGAAGAAGUAAGCAGUAGCACCCUGUUUUUGUAUUGCCUUUUUUUAUGUUCUUGGAGCUUAUAACCAAAAUUUCACAUAACCAAAAUUUUCAGAUGAUGCAUGCAAUCAAAGGUGGAUGGGUUGGGCAAACAUUUGCCCUUGCUGCAUAUAGUGACUCUGGAGGGAGGAAGGCAAGGAUUAGGCGUUCAAAGGAGGAGAGGAAGGCAAUGGUUGAGUCUUUUAUAAAGAAGUAACCUUUUCAAACUUGCUCUUUUUAUGAAGAGAAUUUGUAUAUUAUUUACAUUACAAUGGUGAUCUAUUUUGUGCAUGUGUCUGUGUAUUUCUUUUUUAAUCAUCACUAUUAAAUGUUCACUUUUUGCAUAAGGAUGAUUGUGUUAGCAUGUAAACUUUUGUCAUCUGGUCCUUGAGAGUAAUAUAGAUUGUGCUUUUCCCAAAAUGAGAAAUCUCUUUGUUUGUUGUUUAGGACUAGAAUUCAUCUAUUUUAGUUUCCUUGACCAUCCACAUAAAUAGGAAGAAGAACUUAUUUCAUUUAGUUUCUUAAAUUGUUCCUUUUUUACUAAAUAUACUCGCUGACGUCUUCACAUUUCUUGGGUCAAUUUCUUACAGAUAUCAGAACUCAAAUAAUGGAAAUUUUCCAUCUUUGAAUCUUACACACAAGGAAGUUGGUGGUUCUUUUUACACAGUUCGGGAAAUUGUUCGAGAAAUUAUUCAAGAAAACAAAGUAUUAGGUCCAGCUAAGUUUUCAGAAGAGCAGAGCUACGAUAAUGUUUUGGAGCAUUAUCCAUUAGGAUCCAUUUCCAUUGAAGCUCAAAGAAGUUCAUUACCAUCAGAUGAACUGAAAAGUGUAUCCAUAUUUCAUCCAAACAAAGACAGGGUACCGGUGAAGAACUUGUUGCAAAUUCUAAUGGACUAUUCUUUGGGUAUGAGCAUCAAAAUCUAGAUAGUGAUCAAGUAGUUAAUGGUGUAAUUGAGACAAUUAAAGAUGACGUGGGAUCAGAUGGACCAAAAAACGUAGCUCAUACUUCAUCCAAACAAAGUCUGGAUAGUGGUGAAGAAGUUGUUGCAAACUCUAGUGGACAAUCCUUUGUGUCUGAGCAUCAGAAACUACACAAUGAUCAAGUAGUUAAUGGUGCAGUUGAGACAAUUAAAGAUGAUUUGGGAUCUGAUGAAUGCAGUUUAAUUGAAGCUGCAAUCCUACUCAUGAAGGCACAAGUGAUGAAAUCCUUGAAAAUUUGAGUGGGCAGUUGACAGGACCUGAUUGUCAGGAGUUUGACAGCAAACCAAUUGGAUGUUAGUGAGCCAACUGACGAGGAUGAAGAAUCUAAUGAACCAGUUAUACGUAGUCCUGUGUCUAUACCUAAUCCCAGAGUUAUUCAAGAAGAUCACCAGGAAAGUAGGGGAGAACAAGUUGUACAUUCUACAUAGAGAUUUUCCUGGAGAUGGCCAUCUGAAAGCAGACACGGAAGAAGAUGUCAAUGGGAUUAGUCAGGCAAUUGGAGAAACUGAAUAUGAACAACCAGUAUUGGCAGUGGCUGUAGGAGAAGAUAGCCUGGAUGUCAACAAAGGUGGUACUAAAACAGUUGAGUCAUCAAAUGUUGGUAUGACUCGUGGGCAAGCUGACAUAGUUGUCGAAAAAUUUCCACUUCAUCCCAUUGCUAGGAAAUUUGAUGACUUGGAAGGAAGAUUAGAAGAACAAAGUCAAGGAACUAGAACUCUGGAGGUAAACAAAAUUGAACAGGACAGCGUACAAGUUACAGAGCACUCUUGUAGUGCUGUGCAGGUGGAAGCUGGUGCAGACCUUGCUGUUUCAAAAAGCAAGAGUGAGCUGGUGGGUAAAACUGCCAGCCUAAAUGAUGGGAAUCCACCAUUGGAAAUGUCAAAUUGCUCUGCAACCAAAAAAGUUCCUGUAUUUGACAUGAGCAAUGCUGCAGAAAUCGGAGCAAAGGUCUCUUCCCCCACUGAAGCAAAGGUAUUUUACUUAUGAUGUAUUUAAUAUAUCUUUUGCACAUGGCUUGGGAUGUAUGUCUUUGCAUCCCUAACUUUGUGCUUAUUAAAGGGCUUAAAUCUUGUAGCUGUGAAUAAGAUGUAGAGGGACUUUGGGCUAUGUGACAUCUAUGUGCCAAUGAAAGUGGUUAUUUCCUGUUCCUAGUCCUGAUUGGUUGAAUUCAUUGGGAGGCCUUGUAAUGGAAGUAUAUAUACGGUCAUGUUUGAAAAUCAGAUGAGUGGAGAUGCAAGUGAAACUUACACUUUGGUACUGUAACACUACGAGGUUAAAAGUGUAAUGCACUCAGAUCCCGGAUGAACUCUUCUGAUUGCAUUACGGUGAACCUGGGUACUUAUGAUGAGUCUUGCAGCCUGGAGCUAUCUUGAUCUUGCAAUUUGGUAGAACCUCCAUUUGUGGUUGUCUUGUUAAUUAUUCUUCAGCUGUCGCAACGUGGAUAUUAAUGAACUUGUCAGUACUAGUUUAUUAAGUCUAAUGAAGGUAAUUUAAAAUUUGGUUGUAACUAAAAAUUUAUUAUGUUCUGAAGAUGAAAGGUCACAAUUUGGUGGGGUUUCAUUAAAGGUGCAGCAGGUAUGGUGGCCUAUACAUAGAAAAAUUGGAAGGUGGCUACUUGUGUUUGGCUAUCACAUACUGUAGCUGUUGCACAUUUUAUUCUUUUCCUAUUGGGUGGUGCUAAUUUCUCUGACGUUAUUUUACAGCCUGCGAAUGUUCCAACGGGUACCAAUGAGAAACAUGGUGACAUAAAUGCUGGUGUUUCUCAUGAACAGUCCAUUCCAGAUGAAACCAUUGGAAUAGAAGACAAACUAAAGAUCGAAGGUGAUAGCAGCUCCAAGGAGGGAAGCAAUCCUACAUUAAACAGAAUUAACCUGUAAGUAUCUUUUGUGGCAUCUCCUAGGCCUUUUUGCAUACAGUUCAAGAUGUCACUCUUUAUCAUUUCAGAGUGAUCAGUUUCAACAUUCCCCAGUCCCCGGACUGCCCCACCUAUGUACUGUUCAUUUAGCCUCACCCAAUUGAGUUUCCCCUUUGCAGUGAAACAUGGGAAAGGACAUCAGAGCUGCCCGCUGAAUCUGAAGUAAAUCCAGUUUUUGCAUUCUUCAAGGCGCUUGUUACUGCUUUUGUGAGAUUUUUGAAUGGAUGAGAGUUUACGGGGUGUUAUAAUGUAGCUUUUGAGAGUAUCUGCAGGGUGUUAAGCUUAGUGUUUGCAGCUUAUGGGACACUUUAAUUCCAUGAUAUUAUGAUAUCUGGUAACGUACUUAAUGUAUAUGGUGGUUGCUGCGGUCAAUUACAUGAUGCUUGUAUCCCUGAAACCUAGGUAGAAGAGGAGACCUUGCUAGAUGGAUGUCAUCAAGGAGCUGGUCCAUCAUUUCAGCUUCUUGAUGACCUCCCCUCAUCUGCACCAUUAAAGUUGGAUGGAACAAGUGUAAGCAUGGUCUGGAUAAAUCUACAUUUGCUUCUAAUAAAAAGUAAAAUAGCUUGAAGUAGUUGUAUGAUCUCCUUGUAUCCUAAGAAAUAUCGACAGCAUAAAUAAAUUGUCCAUCAAGUUGUGAUAAAUCCCAAUUUUCCAUGGGAGACACUGUUAGCAGAAAAGGACAUAGUACUGUUUAAUAAAGAGCAGCCCUACUCAUUCCACAACAGAAAAUGGUCAACAGAUGAGUGGUUGCUGUUUAUUAUAUUUAGAUUAGAAGAAAAAAGAAGAAGAAGAAAAAUCCCUUUCCAUCCCCAGCUCCACUGGAAAAGUGACGCAGCAGUAUUCCAGGAACAGAAUUCAGUCCACCACAUUUCAUACGAUCGCGGAUGGCUGAGAAGGUCUUGUUCUUAAUUCUUUCUUGUAGAUGCUUUCCAACUGUUAGCGCAAGACUAAAGCUUGACCAUUCUGGGAUCUUUUGCUUUAUAAUUACGUUGCUUGCAUCACAUGGAUGUGUUAGUCCACCUAAAAGCAAGGCAUUCCCAGUCUAGAAGGGAUUCAUUAUUACAUCUUCCUUUUUGCAAGGGUGAGAUUCUCGAGCGAGACUUUAACUGAGGUCUACUUUUCGUUUUCGUUCGCCAUCAAAGCAUCAUUGGGUUUGGUCCAUAGACUACUCAUUGAGGUUGUCAAUUAAGAGUCCAAACCGGGCAAUCGAUUCCAGCUCUGCUAACGUGAUUACAUUACUGCCAGGAAGUAAUUGAAACUUAGAAAAAGAGCCUUUUCCUUUUCCUCUGUUCAAUUGGAUGUAGUAUUAGCAUGUAUGAGGGGUCACUGCUUUUUUCUUUCUUUUGUUUUUGGUAGAGAAUAAGAAUAGAAGGGCUAAAACUAAGACCAGUCCAACUCCAAUACAUGAAGGGAUUAUAUGUGCAAUAAUUUGUUUGAUUAUUUAGGAACUUAGAAUUGAUGUCUGCAUGAAGCGUUUCAGCGUUUUGUUUGGCAUGGUGUCAUGAUUUUGCUGCCAAGUUGUAACAAAACGAACUUAUAGUUUUUAGACUUUAGUUUAGUACAAUGCUCACAUUGCUGGAAUACAGCCAAUCGGGAGCAAGCAAGAGAUGCCCACAUAUUGAUUAAGCUUCCCUGGCUUUUGCAACAGAAUCUCAAGUACUAAAUAUGUUUUGUUCCAUGCGUUAAAAAAAUCAAAGGUUCACAAAUGUACAUCUCUCUCUGCACACAUGUAUAAUGGCAGGAUUUCUCUGUUCAAAAAAAAAUAUAUAUAUAUAUAGUCAUUUCUAUAAGAACAUAAGAAACAACAAUAAUACUCUAUAUUUUGAUGUUUGUUUGAGGGUCGGUUUGUGAUUGGUUCUAAAGCUUGUGUGACAAAAGGCAAAGGAUAUUAAAAAGAAAGAGAGAAAGGUGUGAAGCAAUCUCGAAGCAAGGAAUAAAGUGGAAAAUAUAAACUAAGAAAAAAAAUCCAGUAAUCUGUAAUUCAUCAAGACUCAAGAGCAAGACUAAAUUAAAACCCCCAAAACCUCCGCAAACUAAAAAAAUAUAAGAACAACGGCAAAGCUAUCUUACUAUAUUAUUAAUUUUCUUCAAACUAUUGAAAUACUAGAAUUCAAUGCAUUGUACACAAAUAAAUUUAACAAAGCUAUAUAUAUAGUAGCAACAAUUUUUCUAGUAUUCCUAGUUGGAGUAUAUGGUAGGAUUGGCAGACUCCUUGCGGCUUCUAUGACUAAAAACAAAUUCUUGAAAUGAUAUAAAAAAAAAACAAAAUUCGAGGAAGAUUCAAAAAGUUGCACAGGAUCAUUAUUGCAUGGGAUGGCAACAUGCAAUGAUAGGGGGGUGGCAUGGAAUUCCCCCAAGCAAUUAUUAGUUAUUAAGAACACUUCACACAUAAGGCCAAUAUCCCUUAAGCAGGGGUAAGGGGGACAAGGAGGGUGUCCAAAAACACGUAAUAAUGAUCCCUCUUCAUUCCUAUCUAAUCAGCAUGCAAUUGGAUAUGAAUCUCAGGUCAAAUGGCCUAAUAAUACAAAUCAGAUGACGGUGUCAAGGAUUCGGAGAAAUGAAAUUGUUGCCCGUAUAUAGCGGUCAGAGAAAUUACGCCAUCAUUUUCUAGGAUUUUUUUUUUUUGGGGUAUCUUUGUACAAUGUAUCAAUAGACAAGGACGUCCUAAUUAUACGUAAUGAAGUUGGGGUAAUGCAUGGUGAAAACCAAGCAAAAUAGAUAGGCUGAGGGGACAGUUCACAUGGAAAGAUUCAUUCAUGAGGUGGAGAUCAUGGAGAGGGUAUUUGGUAAACCCAACCAAAACAUAUAGUAUUAUUCAAGGCUCAGUUUCUUUGUUCUUUUAUUUGCACAAUAAUAAUAAUGAGGGAGAGACAGAUAUGGCAGAUAGGGCGUAUUGAAGGCUCUACGAUGGAAUCCUAUGCUAGUUUAUAAAUUAGAGUGACAGAGACAGAAAUGGGUACAAAAAUUGCCAACGAAGGUCUUAGGCUAAAUGCAUUGUACUACAAUUAAUUAUAGCUGACUGCGAGCCAAGCUGGUCGUGAGUAGUUCGGUCAAUUGCUCGGCUCGAAUUCGGGUUGACCAAGUUUGAGUCCGAACUUGAACUAUUCGAUUGGAAAGCAAAUCGAAUUUUGAGCCCAGAUAUAUGCUACUCAAGCUCGACGAGCUACUUGUCGAGUACUUUUUAAUUUAAACAUUAUAUUUUUUUUUUAAAUACAAAAUUAUCACUAAGGGUUUAUGCUUUCAGAUGAUUUACAAGCUGAUUUGCAUACCUAAUAAAACUCUUGAAUGGCAAAAAAGUAAUAGAAUUUGAAGUAGACACAAUAUAAUUUCAUUCGCCAAGUUUUGAACUUAAAGGCUCAAAAAUGAGGUCUGAUUGAGUUUCUAUACUUGAAAGCAUCAUUGAGUACUCAAACUUGAUAUGCUCGAUCCUGAUUCAAGCCAUAUCGAGUCGAGUUUGAGUUUUAUACCGUUUUAGUAAGUGGAGUUCAAUUCUCUAUUCUCGAACUUAUCAAGUUCGAACUCGAGUCGAGCAGGGCAUCAAUAGUGUUUGAGUUGAGUUCGGGUAUAGAACUACUCAAGUUUGACUCAACUUGUAUACACCUGUAACUACAAAUUUUCGCUUGAAAAUUUGACCAGUAGAGAUCAAAAUGAAAUAUUAAAAAAUACUAAGCACUUGUGGCAAUUUGCAUCAUGUGAGACGAUUCCAAAUAUGCCCUCAUACUGAAAACGGAAUUGAUUUAAGAAAUAUGGAUCUUUAUGAACGGAAAAAAAAGAGUAAGUGUAUUUGGUGUUAUCCGUAGAUAAAGCGUUACUCAUAGGUCAAAAAAGACACCGACUCAAGUUUAUCAGCUUUUUUUUAGUUUUGCUUUUUUUUUUUUCUUUUUGGGGGAAAAUGUUUCUAGGUAGCAACAAGUGCCACAUUCUUGCCCCGUAGAGGAGAAGGAAUAGAAAGAAAUGGAAGUAAAAUAUCCAGGACUCUGGUAUAUAUAUAAUAUCUCAUGGUUGAAUUUUAGCUUUUCAUACAUCCAACAAACAUAUAUUAGCAUCUUACAGACACAACUAUUCAAUUUUGGGAUCAUCAGCGAACUUUUACAUAUACAAGACACCGACGAAGAUUCGUGCAAACAUGGAGAGGAAGAAAAAAUUUGGUCGAAUUCUUAGGAACAAACAAUAUCUCCUCAACAUCUUUAAUCUUGAAUAUCCUGCCAGAUAAUUUUUAAUGAGAUGCUUCUUAAGUUCACUGGGAAUAAGAAAAUCUAAUGGAAUUAUUUACUGCAGGCAGGCUUUCUUAGAGCGCAUGUAGUAGUGGUGGUGUCCAUGCAGGUUGCUCUCACCUUUUUGAGCAAUUCUUUGUCGGACAAACUCCAUAUUGCACCUUCGAAUUCGUAUGAUUUUUUCACUUUACAUUCUAAACUUCAAAUUUAAAUACUUUGCACAUUAAAUUCUUAAUUUUAAACACUUUACAUUCUAAUCAAUUAAGUUUGUUCUAUUUAAAUCUAGUCAGCGACAACUUCAGCAAAAUUAACGGCAUGUACGACUUAUCAAAUUAAUGAUAAUAUGCUGAAAGUUGUUAAAAGGUAGCAAGGUAUCAUAGCAAAAAUAAAACAGUAUAUUGGAAUUAAUUUGUACCAUCUUUUAUCUAAUUGAUUUUGCUAGAAAUAUUAGCGAUUGAAACUAUAUAAAUCAAUAAUAAUAUGCUAAAAUGGUCAAAAAAGCUAAGAGAUCGCACUGAAUGAUACAUUUUUAUUGAUUUUCACUACACCCCUUUACCUCAUACAUUUUGCAAGCAACAUAAUCAUUGGUUAUAUUUAAACACGACAAACUUGAGAGUUUAGGGUGCAAAGUGCCCAAAAUUAACGGUGUUUGGAUUGCAUUUUUCAUGAAAAAAUUACUGUAGUGAUUUGAUGUAUGUAAGAGAAAAAGGUAAUAGGAAAAUGUGAUCACGGAAAACAAUGUAAUUUUCCGACGGAAAACUGCAAUCCAAACAAGGCAAUUUGGAUUGCAAAGUGAAAAGGUGAUAUAAGUUUGGGAGCGUAAAGUGAAGUUAGUCCUUCUUUCUUAAUUAACUUAACGUAAGUUAUAAGCUUGGAUUCACAGGCCAAUUCCAAAAAAGUUGAAACCAUGAAUUUCAGAUCCAAGAUUGAUCAGCGUCCUUUCCUUCCUUGCACUGUCAAGUAUCCAAGUCCUGCGAUGUGCAAUGUACAAUGUGGGCUAUUUAAUUAAUGAGUUGCAGCUUGUCAUUUUCUAGUACUCAUCAUGCAAAUUGGUAAAUGUAUCUCACCCUCUUCACCGUUUACAACCCAAGUUUACCUUAAAAAAAGAAAGAAAGAAAAAAAGAAAAAUUGGUACUGCAAUGGAGAACAUUAAUAUUAUCUAGGCAGCAUAGAAACAAACUUGUCCCAGUAGCACUUUUAAGCAAUUAAAUUCCUUCUACUUUCAUGAGCCUCUAGUACAGUACUACAGUUACAGGACAUGUCAAUAUAAAAACUGAUCAAAAUAGUAGUGACGAUCCAGAUGACAAAAAUCUCACAGGUAAAUGCCUCUAACAUGCAUUCACAAUCUUGACUGCAGAACCGCAGGAGCAUCUCCUCUUCAUCCUUUUUGUACUUCUUAAAAACUAAAAUAAAACGAAAAAAAGAAAAUAAUAGAGAGAUUUGGAGGAGGAAAAAAUAAAAAUUGCCAAUGAAGAAAAGAUGAAAAAGGUUUGUGAGUAAAGGUGGGGAAGACAGGUAGUUACAUCUGGAGCCAAGUGACGACAGCCUGAGAUGGACAUGUUAGAAAAGUUGUUCUACUACUGUAGUCUGUGCUGCCACCAAUCUAUCUAUCUUAAUCUGCUGGUUUGUGUGAGAAUAAAGAAUGCCCCUACGACCUUUUCUCUACUCAAUUACCUUCCAAUGCACGCCUCUCUUCCAAACUCUUCUUUUUCAACCCGUAUAUAUAUGUAUGUAUGUGUAUAUAUUCCCUGCCCAUUCCUACACUUGUAUCUCUUACAAUUUCCUGUUUACAGGUUCCUCCUUAUCAGCUUUCCCUCCAGUUCCUCGACCAACCCUCCACCCACCAGAAAAAACCGAAAGAACGGACAAAAAACCCAUGUCUACGGAUCUAGAAUUACGCCAAGAAUUGGUGGAAAUCCGAUUACCAGCUCUAAACAUCAAGGUUUCACAGUCUUCAGAUAGUACGGAUGAUGGCGGUGCUGUAAUUCAGUCACAAGAAAGCACCACCGGCACGGGCAGCUGCAUCAUUGAAGAAGAAGAGUGCCAUACUCCAAAAUCGCCUCAGCAUAUGAUCCCAGAAAUUCUUAGCUGCCCACCUGCCCCAAAGAAGCCUACGAGGCCUGCUUCCUCCUCAUGCAAGAGAAAAUUAUCUGAAUUUUUCGAGUUUGUGGGACGGGAAGAGAUUGAGUCUUUUUUCAGGCAGCUCGACGUGCCGAAUUCUACAACCGGUGUCAUCAAAAAGAGGUGUCUUGUAUAAAAUUUAUUCCACAUUCAGAAAUUUUCUAAGGCCGCCCCAUUUUCUUACAUUGCUUUGCAAAUUGGAAUCAAUUGACAAAGCCACAGCAAAGUGAAUUACGAUCAAUUGUGUAUGUAUUACACCUUUUUAUAUGUUAAAGAAAAUGUAUUAUUUGAUUCACAAUUCUUGUUAUUACCACAACUAUUAUUAUCUUCUUUUCAUUUCUUUUUGUGUAAGUUGGAUCUGAACUGAAGGCUGACAUGAUUGAGAAUUUACUCAAAUUAAUUUGAGUAAUUAACUUGCACUAUCUUCUCUCUCUCUCUCUCUCUCUCUUCUUUUUUUGUUUAUUGAAAUUUGGUUGGGAAGGUUGGUUCACUUGGUUUUAAACAUGGAUGACGAUAGUUAAUUAAGGCUGCUAAAACAUAGAUUAGUGAUGAGUUUUGUGAGGGAGAUGAGUGGUUGGUUGGUUGGUUUUGUCCGAAGGAAGGAAGAUGUGAAUAAUAGAUGGAAUCAAUCCACCAAAUAAUCAAUGAAUGAAAUACAGCUACGACUAAUUCAGUUGGUGCAAGUUUUUUCUUGAGAAAGAUUUGAAUUAGGUUUGAUGAUGCAGCAUGAUCGUGUUUGACGUUAUGGUUGAGUGACAGACACGGUUUUGGGAUUGACAUCCUUUGAUUAUCUUUUUUUUUAGCGUUCCUCAUCUCUGUCUUGCCAAUCCAGAAAGAGAUAGAGAAUUGACAGGUAUUUGUCCUUUUUUUGUUUUUGUCCUUAUUAAUGCAAACAAAAUUCGGCACUGUAAUAUGUUGUACAUAUAGCGUAUUCCAUGCUUCAGCCUGCUUUGGAUUGCCAUUUUGAGAGCAAAAUUUUUACAUUUUUUGUGAAUAUGUUUUCUCCCUCACACACAUCACAUCCUUAAAAAAAAAAGUUACAAGAAUUUUUUCCAAAAAACUUUCGAGGACUAAAACUUGUCGUUCCACGCCCCCUCCUUCUUUUGUCGUUAUUCGUUGAGCAAUUUGUUUUUUUUUUUCAAGUGUAAACGGGUAGAUUCGGGGUUUAAAGGCGAAAUCUCUCAUUUACACUCCCUUCUCCCUUACCAUCCAAUCCAUCCCUUCCCCCGUUAAGUAAUUUGCUAAAACAACAUACAAAUACACAUACAUGAUCGCUUGCUUUUGUGUCCAAGAAAAACAUAUACCACUAGUUAUUUUUUUGGAGGUUUUAUAGAAAAAUAUACGGUUAUAAUUUGAUGUAUAUAAAAUAGAAAGGUAAUUAAAAAAUAUAUUUGUAAAAAAAAAAAUUUUUUUGGGAGAGAAAGGGCAAUCCAAGCUCAGCAAUGAAACUGGUACAACAAGAAUAAAAAAAAAACAGAGAGAGAGAGAGAGAGAGAGAGAGAGAGAAUAAUAGUGCUAGGAUGGGUUGAAUAAGUGCGAUAACUGGCUUUAAUUACGCCACAUAGGAAGUGUGCGAGUUCACAUGCCGGCCUACAACUUUUGUUGGUAUUUCAAUUAUUUUUAAUGUAGGGCUGGCAGUCUUCGUUAACAAACUUGGAAUUCAUUUAUAAAAGGACGAAAAAAAAGUUGGGGAAAAAGAUAGUCUUACAUGACCACGUAUUCACUUGACUUCUACAUUUUUAACGUGUGCAUUUUGAAUUUCAGAAGUGUUUCCACGGAAUCGAACGGAUUUUGAAGGCUAUUCUUUGAAAGAGCAAUCUUAUAGUUAGCAGUUGAAUUUGGACAUAAUUUGUUAAGCAGAUUGAUAACCAUACACCUGGCCAUUUGAAUUUGAUUCAGACUCCAUCCAUACAAUAAGAGAGAAAAAAAAAUGCCGAACCUGACGUGACUAUUCUUCUAAGUUGCUGUGGUUGCAUCAGCAUUCAACAUUCAGAUUAUAACGAUGGUCCCUACUCUCAGGUGCUACUCAUUAACACAUUUAAAAUUCAUUUAACUUAUAAUUUAUAUAUGCAUACUGAUAAUUAUUACCUUUUCUUAUAUUUAUAUACUUUUUUUAUUUAAUCUUAUCCACCCUCUUUUAUAUUUACUUACUUUUUCUAGUCAAUCUUACGCUUCUAAAAAUAUACGACACUUUAAAUAUAUUUUAACGAGUACUCAAUAGGUAUCCAUUAGAUAGGCACUUUAAUUAUCUUACCUUUUAAUUUGGCACCUUUUAUAAGAGAAAUGACCUAGAGUUAAAAAGGACCCGAUUAACAAUUCGAUUGUAUUUUUUUUAUUAUUAUCUUUCAUCCCUUUCCCAUCCUUAACUGUGAGGAUUCAAAUCCUAAACAUGACAGUGAGGAGAGUUCUUCCCUGAUCACUGGCUAACCCCUGUGAUUUAAUAAUUUGAAUGUACUAUAAGAUUACUGUGUGUUAGAAGGUGAAAAUAAGUAACUAGGCGUGUGCAAAAUAAAAAAAUUUCGAUUUACAGACCGAAUUUGAAUUCGGUAAUUCGGAAUGAAAAUCGGAAUUUCGAUUUCAAAUUGGUCGAAUUCGGUAACGAAAUUUUUCAAAUCGGAAAUUCCGAUUUCUAAUUCAUAAUUCGAAAUCGAAAUCGAAAUUCGGAAUUUCUAUUUCGAUUUCAAAUAUGUUUUUCAUAUAUAUAUAUAUAAUAUAUAAUAUAAUAUUUAUUUUAUAUUCAUGAAUUCGGUGAGAUCGGAAUUUACCGAAUUCCGAAUUGUAUUUUGCAAGAUUAUAGCGCAGUACUUCAAAGAGUAUUUUGCAUGCAACGUGACGAUAUCCCCUGACAGAUAGGACAGUGAAUAAUAAUAAUAAUAAUUCUGGGCCAUAUGUCUCUACUGCUCGAUAUCCCCCCGCGAGAUACUAACACCGGAUCCAGAAUAUUAAAUCACAUAGAACAAAACGGAGCAAAGUAAAAACUAGAAUUCAUUUUCUGUACUCCGUUGUAGGAAUAUCUUAACCCUCAGUCACUUGUUUCGCUUUAAAUUUUUCCCUCUUCCUUGAUCAGCUUUGACAUACUCUGUAUUUGUAUUUAACCAAAUUCAAACUGACAAAAGGCUGUAUGCGGACAAUGUCGUAUUAAUCACGCCACUUUUGAUGGAUACGUAUAUAUAUAUAUAUAUAUAUAUAAUUAAUUAAAGCUUUGAGUAAGCUUCAAUCUUACGUGUCCUUUCCUGCGGAUAUUAGCAAGAAGAAAAAGUUAGAUUACCUACAAUUAAAGACAUGAUUUAGACAGAUUACGUAUUUGAGUCAGGACCAGAUCAGAAGCACAAAAGUAAAGAAGAAGCCGGCAGGCGCUUUUAUGGUCGAGCUUAAACCAUAAGUUACUUUUCCGUCUCUUGAUUUUGACGGAAUAAUUAAAGAGGCAGCAGCAGCAGCAGCCCACCCCCAGCGCCAACUCGCAGACAGAGAGCCAGAGAGGUAUAAAGAUGGUGAAAUUAAUAUCCAUAAAUUGAUGAAUUAAUUAUAUAGUUCAUGGAUACAACAUUCACGUGGUCAGGAAUAUUAGAGUUCAUUAAAGGGGACACAUGCAUAUGUGUACAAAGUGAUAACGGCGGCAGAAAUUCUUGAAAAUCAUUUAUUCCCCUGUAUGUGUGCUGUAUAUUCAGCUUGAUUAUAAAACUUUUUUAGUGUUACAGUUUGCAUCCUCAGAAUACCAUGCAUCACAAUUAUACGUCAAUAUAUAUAUAUAUAUAUAUAUAUAUAUAUAUAUAUAUAUGAAUAUCUUAUUUAGCUGAGCAACACAAUAUAAUUGACAUCAAAAGCUAUUUUGAAGAGCAGCGCGUCGGUUGCAGAUGAAACGUCUUACUGACUAGUAUUAUGUGUUCGCUGUUAGAUAGUAUUCAUUCAGUAUAAUUUUUUCUUAUAUGGGACGUAAAGAGGACGCAUUGCUAGUUGGAGCCUUCUAGCUCUGGCGUCAACCACAUCCUCAAAACCCACCAAACGUUAGGUGUAUGUUUGGUAGGUUUAAACAAAGUUAUAACGAUGGUUUUGAUCUGAUUCCAUCUGAUUGAUCAAUCAUGUGAAACUAAUUUUUCAUUUUUAUUGCUAGUCGGCGGCCAUGUGACCGAGAAAUUCAUGAUCUUGUCGAACAAUAUUAGCAAAUUACUGAAAUAGGAGUUUUAGCUAGGAUCCAAGAACAUCUGUAAAGUUGCUAAAGCAAGUGUAAAGAAUCCACCACAUUGAUCUAAACUAAAGCAAAUGCAAAUCAGGUUAUAUAUAUAUGUAUAUAUAUGGACAACAAACAUAAAAAGAAAACCCCAGGAUGUGUAUAAAAUUUACCGAGUACAUAUUUACUGCUAAUUACCCAACUAGAAAACUAUUCAAAAUCCUCUUCCAAAGCAACAAAAAGAAAUGCAAAACUACGGGACAUAUUUCAAUUAUAGAAGUCCAAAAGUUGCCCCUCUAUCUUUGCAAGUGUAAAAAUCGCCUCAUCAAGAUGAAAUCCUACCGCAAGCGACACAAAUUAAGCAUUGGAUAAAACACAGAUUAACCGUCUAUCACAGGAAGUAUUUCCUCCUUGUGGGCCGAAAGGGAAAAAAACAAUUGCAGACAUGGAACUGGAAAAAGUGAAAGCUAAGAUCUGAUAAAAGUGAAGAAAAAGUGGAGUUAAAACCCUGGAUUUUGUAGUUAAAUACUAUCAUAACUGAUCCCUUUUGUCUACUGAGGUAAGACAAGUGUGUUCCCCAUAAAAGUGUCUCCUUGCACUACCAAGAAUGUUCAAUACAAGUACCAAUCACCGGUGGAAAUGAGAAUCUCUCAUUUUUGCCAGAAUACGAGGUGUGGAAGUUUCUUGGUGUUUAAUACUUGGAAUUUGGGACUACGGCAUUCUACGGGAUUUGUGAUGCUGGACUUGGGAACCACAACAUUAAGAGUUCUUAAUACAGAUUAUGAAUUAAAAAUUGCCAUUUGAAGGUCAUGCAAUUACUUAAUGCAGUCAUGGGUCUACACUUUUUCUCCACAACUACAUUACAAGUUUGUCUAUUUGAUAUCAAUAAUACAUAGCACUGGCUGAUUUAAUACAUGUUGCCUGUUGGAUAUUUUAAUAAAAAAAUAUCACAUAUUUAUUUUGAAUUCAAAUAAAAUAAAUUACAAAUUCUUUAAAUAAAUUUUCAGUUACAAAUUGAAACAUUUAAAUGUGUAACUUAUGAGAUUUAUGUCUUGCUUUCUAUAAUUACUGCAAACACUAACAUCUUACAAGAAUAUAAUAGACUCCUUUCUUCUAUAGGAACUAGAAAUCUUUCAUGUUUAAGUUAGUAAAUUGAUUUUGAGGGACAGAGACAAACAACAUUAGGCUUUGGCCCCUCCUUAAAUGCCCUAAAGAAAAUGUCAAAUUAGACCGAAGAGAGAAGGAAACUAUAUAAAUAAGAGCUAAUAAAAGAGCCUUGCAAUUGCAGCUCAAGGAGAAAGGGCAGGACAGGACAGGAGAGGGGGCCAUGCGGGACAGAAACGUUUGAUGAAGUUGGGUGCGAUGAAUGUUCCAAUCCACAUGGAAAAUGAAAUGAAGCGACAUAUCCCAUCCCAAGCAGUCCCAUGACUAUCCAUCACCAAUCGUGAUUAUGGCUACCAGUUUUACGACUUGCGACUUGUUGGACUGGGAGGGGUUGCUUUUUUCUGCUUAUCCACUCCCAGGCCCCAUCUCCUAUUGCUUUGUAGCUAGAGGACCGGCCAUUCCUCAGCAGUACAGUAUUCAGGGAAGAUAAUAAUCUGCUCCAUCUUUUGUUAUAGUUCUGAAGUACUACCAACUCAAAGAAUGUUGUUGGAAAGUACACUGCACCUGUAUAUUCUUUCCUUGUACUUCGUGUACAUUCCCUAUCCGACUCAUUAACAAGAGAGGUCUUUUUGUUUUUCUUUUCUUCAAAUUGAGAACCUUCAAUAACGGAAGCAAGCUGCAAAAUUUGUGGUUCCUCUCUUUAUCACCCCCACAAAGAUAGUAGGCUUUGCUACAGUAAAGGAUGAAACCUGUGUUCUUUGUCUACAUCCCAAGCUUUGCAUAAAGAAAACACCCCAAGAAAACAAAACAAAAAAAAAAUGAACAAGUAUUGAUCCACCAACUAAUGUACAAUUGACUGCCAAAACUAUUAAUAACAGAAUCCCCCCUCGAAGCAAGAUUCACAAUGGGAGGCAAAUGAAGUUUUACAGGGUCGGUAUAGAACAAAAUUAUGCCACAGAGAAACGAAGAUCAACAGAUGUACCCACCAACUUUCACCACCUCUGGUUAGACUUCAUUCCUACUAUACAUCCCAACCAUCCUUCCGCCGGCUAAAUUCUGACUUGCGGUCGGUCAAACUCCCGUACAUCUUUGCAAAUAUUCGCAGGCAAUUGCUUCGAACAUGAUAAUGAGCAUUCGUAUUCCGGCUAAUAGCUACACCAGAAAAUUUUGAUGUAUCAAUAGCCCAUGCAGGUCUUACAUACUCGACUGUCUGGGAAGAGCUUGCAUUUGCAUAAAGGUAAUUCAGCAACACAUCCUCACAGUUAAAAUACUUCUGAACCACCUGUCUUCCAGCCAUUGCUUCCUUGCUCCAGUAUCUCUCAAAGGCCAUCCGGCCGUCCAUGAAAGCUGCCCCAGUUAGAAUCAUAUUGUAGCCAUUGUGUCUGCGAGCAUGCUUCUCUGCUCUGUAUUUCAGGGGACUCCCAUUCACGAGCCGGGGGUAGAACCCCACAAUCCUAUCAGGAUGCUCACGCCAUACCUUGAAACCCCGUUCUAUAUCAUCACAAGUCAUCAUAAUGUCAUCGUCAAGUUCCAGUACAGCUCGAGUUUUUAUUUUUGGAUCCAUCUUGAAUCGAUUAUUUAACGAGUUCUCUUCCUCCUCUCUUAUCCUUACUGGUACUGCCGAGUCAAAUUCACUCAAUUCUGGACGUUUGCCUUUGUUCCAGACCACCACAAUUUCACGCACAGAUGAACACCUGGAGUAAUGCUUUAUGUACAUUUUCAAAUUCCAGAGGCGAGCAUCAUAGGUCAUUGUUAAUAAAGUAAAUUGAGAAUAAUGAUCAUUUAACGGGUAAGGCUCCUGUGCACCACUGCCUCCAUAUAUGUAUCCAACCCCCAGGCACAUUAGGGCCAUUGAUGCCAUGAUUGUCAAUAUUAUAACCAAUCUCCCGGUACAAGUAUUCAGAUUUACUUUGGCACGAAGAAUUGAGCUCGCUCUGUUUAAACGGCUGCAAAACAGUCUCAGUUUGGAGGAUAACAGGUUCGGCUUCUCCCACGACAACAGAGCAUCGCUUCUCUUCCCCAUAUUGUGAGGGCACCAACUUAGGGGUACUAGGCAUUUCACAGCCCCUAGAAGCAAUCCAACCAAUAUAACGAGUGCAGCAACAGCCAUGACUGAGGCACAGCCUAGAACAAACCUGCGAUUUGUAUCUCCAGAGGGCACUCUGUCCCCAUCCAGCACCCCAACCCACUCCCCAGAACUUAGCUGCUGAACAUCAAGAUGAUGGUUGCGGAGACCAUUCCAGGCAUUUCGUCCCUUGGUUGGUUCUUCAGUGCCCAAAGAGACCUCAACUUCUUUGAACUCAUCUGUAGUGAGAAUUUCCACUCUAAAGACACGAAUUCGCCGCCCGUAUGUUUCACCACAGUCUUGACCAAUUCGAUAAAGGUUUCCAUCAUGUACAAAGGGCCUGCCUCCAUUUCGAGCUCCCAUGCUCUUGUCUGUGUUAUAUAUAGGGUUCUUUUUGUGUGGUCUCCAAGGACCAAGAGGAGAAGUACUGUACCAAAUCUCCAGCUGUCCAUUCUUCUUGGUCCCAAUACCACUGUGGUCUGAACCAAACAGCCAGUACUUUCCACCAUGAGGUAUGAUAAAGGAAUCAACCAUAGGCUUUUUCAUAAUGACCUUGUCAAAUGUCCAUUCCACUGGAAAGUUCACAGCUCGAUAAAGCCGCAGAUCCCCAUUUGCACUUCCCUCAGGCAUCAUAUAUAUCUGCUCCAAAAGAGAAGAGAUAAAAUUUCCUCAGCUUGAACCACUUCAGAGGCUUUCAGUAACCACAAUGAAAAGGCAAGACAUGAUGUCUAUAUCAGCAAUCAAAGACGAUACUAUUUAUUCGUUGCGUUCAAGUUACAGAUUUGGGUUCAUUAUUCUCAAAACUCUACUCUUCUAUAUUCUAAUCUGCUAAUUAAGGUCAAAAUUUUCAUAAAAGUGAUGCAUGCUUGCAGGCCCACAUAUCAUAUUCACAGUUUACAGAAAAAAAGGCUGCGAGAGAAAGAGGUCUUACAUGGCCAUUGUAGUCAAAGACAUAGGGAUAAGAGAGAUGCCAAUCUUCAUCCAAGGCGAUGCCCAACUGCUGCCACGUAGCUCCCUUAUCAACACUUCUUGCAACUCCGAUGUCUCCUUGCAUGGUGAUUGAGUUCUUUGUUUCGAAAAAGAGGUAAAGCACAUCCCCCUGGAUUUCAUCAUCAAAAGUUCAGAAUUCAAGGUAUGAAGAGUGUAAUUACACAAAUUACAAAAGUUACAGAACCAAUAUAUCCAGUUUGGAAAUCUCCAAAGUCCUGUGCCAUAUUCAUUGUGAAUUACCAUACUAAAAGGCAAAAUAACCUUUCUUGGUAAACAGAAAAAUCACAAGACUCUACUGUUAUGAUUUGUGAAAGACAUUGGUCUUGUUCUCAACUGCUUCUGAUUGUGUAAAAGCUGAUUUUAGAAAAUCAGAAUAAAAAAGCACCAAAAUAGAUGCUUUUGAGUUUCAGCUUUUUCAGGCUAAAAAAAAUAAAAAAUGAGAAUUUGAGAACACAACAAAAUAACUUGCUUAGAAUCAGAAUCUAAAAUCAGAUCUUGAAAAUCAGUUGAGAACAAGGCCAUUAUUCCUUUGAUGGCAUGCAUCCCGAAUAAAGAAACUAGCACAUUUCCAAUCAAAUUAUAAACAUAUCACUCUGAAGUCUAAACCAAGUGUUAACUGUAUGCACACUCUGCAUCUGGCAAAGCACAAGAAAAGAUGAAAAAGAUGCACUAGGUCAUACUCCACGGAUGCUUUUGCAUCACAAUCAAAGUUCCUUGCAAGUUUUACAUUUUAAAAGCUGAUAAGACUCCAUAAACAAACAAGUCAAGCACUCCCGAAAUAUAGCAAGAAUUAAAGAACCAGCUAGACCAAACACGUUAUUGCUUAUCAAACACAAGGGACAACUAAAGCUGUUUUCUGUUGACACCCAAAAAUAAAUAGUAUGCAAUACACACACUCUCUCUAAAGAAAUCAGCACGAUUAACGUACACUGUUAGUGACUUGUACUAUAACUACUAUAAUUUUCUUCAACUCAUUGACACCUAACAUAAAAGGCUUGAAGUUAUUUUGCAGAGCAAGGGAAAGAUUAGGAAUAACAAGACAAAGGAAUUAUCAAAAGAAAAAUAAAUAAAUAAAAUAAGCUAGAUCGGCCUAAGAGAAGAAACAUAUUCAUUGGCUUGAUAUGCACCUAAUAGCCACUCAGAAUUUAGUACCUGCUGAAUGAACCAGAAGUAAAGUGCAAUAUCUAUGGCAGGAAAUUCCUACAUUACCAAAAUAUAAUCUUCUAAAUCUAUCAUCAUUUUUCGAAAGCAAAAGGUGUCAUGCACCACUGAAAGUACACUUGAACUGGACUUGGUACCACCAUCUUACAAUCACUUGAAAGUAUAAAUUCUUUUAAUCACAAAAUUCUCAAAUAGUAAACCUAAGAAGGUAGAAUCAUGUGAAACAUUCAGCUAAAUGCCAUCUUGACUUUGGAGCAAUGGAGUUCCAUUUAAAACUCCACGCAUCAUUAAAGGACGUCAUCAAGACUUGCUGACCUCCAAUCUCUAUCCUGUAUUUCCUUGUGGCACUUGCAGCUUGAAACCACUUACUAAUACUUCAAUUUGACCAGUUUUUCCUUGUGUAAGACAACAAUCAUCUAUAACAAUUCCAAGCCUUAGAAAACCAGUACCAGUUCUAUAUCCUUACCUAUUAUAUCAGUAUCACAAUUGUGUACUCACAUAAAUUCUAAGUGCCACCCUUGUGUUACUAUCUAGCAUAUCAGCGCCAACCUAGUAGUGCAUUGAAGCUGCUUGAACUUCAAAAUCUCGCACAUUGGUAACCUCUAUAUCCUUACCUCACAUUGGUAACCUCUAUAUCCUUAGAAAACCAGUACCAGUUCUAUAUCCUUACCUCGUAUAUCAGUAUCAGAAUUGUGUGCUCACAAAAAUUCUAAGUGCCACCCUUCUGUUACCAUCUAGCAUAUCAGGGCCAACCUAGUAGUGCAUUGAAGCUGCUUGAACUUCGAAAUCUCGCACAUUGUGUACUCUAUUUUGGUUCAUAUUCAAUUUAUCGCUUUACAACAACAUUGUUGACUAGAAUCCAAAAUUUCUCAUGGUAUGACAACUCCACUCUUUUUCGCCAUAACUUACUUGUGACAAAAUUAUUCAAUCAUUUUAUACUUAACUCUAAGCAAAGCACCAAUUUUACAGCUACAACCAGCCACAAGAUUCAGUUGUUCUCCUCUUGUUGCCAUGAGUUCAUCAUAUUUUGAAAGCCACAUAUCUUCCAUUUUUUUCCCCAAGUGUAUGAGCAGCAAUAAGAUUAUUCGGUAUGAGAGCUUUCAGAGCAAACAAUUAUGAAAUUGCCCUAAUAAGCCUUUUACCUACAAAAGUUUUCACAUAAAAAAUAAAUUAAAAAAUUCUUCUGCUUUUUCCCCAUCUUCAACCCACUUGCCCUAAUUUAAAUUUGUCUCCCCUCUCAUCAGCUGGAUAGCUUUCUCCAAAAACCGGAUACAAUUGUUUGAUCCC